GCACGUUCACUCACACAUGCUACUUCUACUCCGGAAGUACCAUCCACAUAUAUCCACCCAUUUCCAUCCCCAGAACCACCCAAAAAUAUUCUACUCCUAAUCCAGGAGAGAAUAGCCAAAAACAUUUCUGUUUUCCCCUGUGAAAUAAAAGCUCAAGUUAUCUUGGUUACUACCACUUGCUAUAUUAUAUCAGGAGAUGAGUGCUCUAAAAAAAAAGAAGAAAAAAAAAUAUAAAUACGAGGAAAUAAAAAGGGGCAAGUGCCCGGAACCUCGAAAGAAAAGAAAAAAAAAGCGAGACGAGAGGUAAAAAUGGACAAGUGUCCGACAGUAGAAUUAGUGUCUAAGUCGUUAAAGGAUAUGAUAUGGGAAGGUUGAGCUGCUGUUUAUCUGUUCCUAGAGAUGCUAGAAAUCUAGAGAAUUUUAUCUUUGAAAAUCUUUAAAAUGUUGCAUGAUGAGUUCCUGUAUGAUGAGAGUUUAAAUUCCUACCACAGCCAUAUAUACAAGCUUGCUAGACUUUGAGCCACACAUUUACUUUUUACUGCUUAUGAGCAUUGAGUGUGGUCAAGCUGUGUAGACCCUUAGGAGCUUGUCAUGUGGUUAAAUCAAGAUUCACUUGCACGUUCACUCACACAUGCUACUUCUACUCCGGAAGUACCAUCCACAUAUAUCCACCCAUUUCCAUCCCUAGAACCACCCAAAAAUAUUCUACUCCUAAUCCAGGAGAGAAUAGCCAAAAACAUUUCUGUUUUCCCCUGUGAAAUAAAUGCUCAAGUUAUCUUGGUUACUACCACUUGCUAUAUUAUUUCAGGAGAUGAGUGCUCUAAAAAAAAGAAGAAAAAAAAAGAAAAAUAUAUAAAUACGAGGAAAUAAAAUGGGGCAAGUGCCCGGAACCUCGAAAGAAAAGAAAAAAAAGUGAGACGAGAGGUAAAAAUGGACAAGUGUCCGACAGUAGAAUUAGGGGUACAAGAUACCCACCUGAGAGGAAAGAAAAAGAAAAUACAGAGCAUCUCAUUCUCCCAAAAAGUUUCAAAAGAGCAAGGAAGGUAUGUAUCCCCUCAAAAGAGCAAAAGUAGAAUUAGACUUUCACCAUUGUUAUCACCAUCAUCACCAUACACCAUUCAUUCGCCACAGAUGCACAUCUUGAUUUGACUUAUUGAUUUGUUUCUUUGGAUCCAUGGUUUGACUAUGCAAUAAAUGUCUUGUAAGUAUGUAUUAGCUGUCUCCCACCUAUGAGCUCCAGAUAUCAAAACCUUAUAAGAGUAGGGUGAGAGAGAAGGCAAUGCCACUAUGCCUUAUACCACAAAUACCACAUACUUUGAGAGAAGGCAUAUACCAAUACUGCCUUGUUAAGGAUCGAGAAAUACCACAAAAGAGAGACUAGAGAGAGUCAUACAAGGAAUCUCUGAGUUUUAUUUGAAAAUCUGCAAAAACUCCAGAGCCAUAGUUAAUCGAAGAACAAGAGACAUGGUGCUUGACUAGACUGUUCUAUCUUUUAACUACUCAAGACAGAAGUGACGAUUACAAGUCCCAUGGUGAAAGGUAAAUGAGUAAGUUUUAAGUCUUAACAUUUUACUCUAACCAGAGAUGAGAUCUUGUUUAAACGCAUGUGUAUCUUUAAGUUAUGAAAACACUGCAGAAACUCUUGAGUCCAUCUUUGCUCAGGGACGAGCAAAGGUUAAGCUUGGGGGAGCUUGUUGACGGUCCUUAAUGCUCACAUUUAACCAUCAACUAAUCAUGGAAAAUGAUCUAAAUGGAACCAACACUUAGACUUAGGGUUUUAUCUGACAGAAUUCCACGAGUUUUGGUGUUUGUCUAUUUCUGCAGGGGGUUAUCAGGAAAUAAGGAAGAAAGGCCCACACGUCGGGUUUACAUAGAGAUAUUAAUGUGCCGUGCAAUUUUCUACCAUCUAGAAGACUCCAGAAGCCACGGGAACGAACGGGAGACGUAAUGGAGCCGGGCACUGGGCACCCGCCCUCCCUUACUGGGCGCCCGCCCUCCCCCCGGACCAAACAGAGUCCAAUUCGGGGACAACACUCCACCGACCUAAUACUUCAAGGAAAACCACACGAUCAAUGUCGGUUUGAUCCGACGGCCCAGAUUCACUUGAAGGGACUAUAAAACCAGACCCCCCUAGCCCCUGGAGAUCAUACCUCUUCUACAGAAUCAAAGCUAGGGUUUCAAUUCUUCAUCCAAGUAGAGAGGAUCCCUCUAGUUCUUCUAGUUGUACCUCUAGUUCAUCUAGAUCUAGUUCUAGUUCAUCUAGUUCUAGUUCUAGUUCCUCUAGUUCUAGUUCUAGUUAGUUCUAGUUGUAAUCUAGAAAAUAGGGAGAGAGAAGAGGAGAGUGGAGGAGGAGCCGGAUCUGUCAGAUCUUCCUCAAUAUUAUACUUUUGCAACAACUGGUUCGUUCUUCAUCGUUCUCCAGGUUCUUCAAUUCAUAAUUCCUGAGUUCUUUAAUUACUUUUAUUUACAUUCAAGUUAUUUAUUGGAUUCCCGCUUGCAUCAAGUGCUCUAGUCUUUAUAACGCUAGAGUAGUAAUUAAUAGAUUAGACGUGGUGUUUAGUCUUGCAAUUACCUGGAAUUGCAACCAAUCCUGCGGAUUGUUGUGGUAGCCUUAGGGUAGUGACAGCCCUAACGGUCGACGUAUUCCACCUCGUUCGGAUCGGUGUUUGUAGGACCGUAGUCAGACCUUCCUAGCCCCCUUCUCAUCUCUUUUUGUGGUUAGUGCUCUGAUGUCCCGAUAUAGAUAAUCUUGAAGUAAUUCUUGAUUCUUAGAUCAACUAGAGAACUCUCAGGAAACUUCCUCUCUUCCCACCAAAAAUAAUUAUAUAGUUAUCCUUGGGCGAUCUUGGAUCUUAAUUAGUACACUCACGUUCUCUGUGGAAAAUCGAUACUCUGGAAUACUCCCGGGUGAAAGCUACAUCGGUAUCCGUGCGCUUGCGGAUUUUUCUGUUUGCGUUUAAAAUACCCAACAAUGAUCUCUAACAACAUGGUAUUCAAAUGUUUUUUCAUUCUAAGUAAUUUAGUUUGUCAUUCGACCAAGUUUGACCGAAACUCAUCUUGGAUUUUAAACACAGGUGCCUAGGAUUGGCUAAAAUUUAUCCAAAUGGAAAAAUGGACAAUGUAUCAAAUGUAGAUCUUGAUGAUCUCUAACAACUUUGUAUUAAAAAUUGUUUCAUUUGAAGUCAUCAAAUGGGUCAUUUGACCUAGUUUGAAGCACUCAAUUUAGAAUUUUGAAAGAAUUCAUAGCCACGCACCGGUUUUUCGAACCCAAGAGGGUCUCGACUGAAAAAGUCAUGAAUACCAAUUUUGCUCCACUCAUCAAGAUCUACAUUUAAUAUAUAGACCAUUUUUGCAUUUGACAAAGUGUUGGGAAGGUGUAGUUGAAAAUCUACAAUUCCACAUAUAGUUUCAUAUAGUUUAUGUGAGAUUCAGGAUUUGGUGAUUAUUGUUUUCUUAAACUUUCUCAAAUGCAAAAAUGGUCUAUAUAAAAAGUUUGGAUCUUGAUGAUCUCUAACAACUUGGUUUUCAAAUGUUUUUCAUUUUAAGUGAUUUAGUUUGUCAUUUGAACAAGUUUGACCAAAACCCGUCUUGGAUUUUAAACACAUGUGCCUAGGAUUGACUAAAAUUUAUCCAAAUGGAAAAAUGGACAAUGUAUCAAAUGUAGAUCUUGAUGAGCGCUAACAACUUUGUGUACAAAACUGUUUCAUUUGAAGUCAUCAAAUGGGUCAUUUGACCAAGUUUGAAGCACUCAAUUUUGAAUUUUUAAAGAAUUCAUAGCCACGCACCGGUUACCAUAACCCUAGAUGGCCUCAACUGGAAAAGUCAUGAAUACCAAUAUUGUUCCACUCAUCAAGAUCUACAUUUAAUAUACAGACCAUUUUUGCAUUUGACAAAGGGUUGGGAAGGUAUAGUUGAAAAUCCACAAUUCUCACAUAUAGUUUCAUAUAGUUUAUGUGAGAUUCGAGACUUGGUGAGUAUUGUUUUCUUAAAAUUUCUCAAAUGGAAAAAUGGUCUAUAUAAAAAGUUUGGAUCUUGAUUAUCUCUAACCACUUGGUAUUCAAAUGUUUUUCAUUUGAAAUAAUUUAGUUUGUCAUUUCACCAAGUUUGACCAAAACCCAUCUUGGAUUUUAAACACAUGUGCCUAGGAUUGGCUAAAAUUUAUCCAAAUGGAAAAAUGGACAAUGUAUCAAAUGUUGAUCUUGAUGAUCUCUAACAACUUUGUGUUCAAAAUUGUUUCAUUUUAAGUCAUCAAAUGGGUCAUGUGACCAUGUUUGAAGCACUCAAUUUUGAAUUUUGAAAGAAUUCAUAGCCACACACCGGUUUUUGGAACCCUAGAGGGUCUCGACUUGAAAAGUCAUGAAAACUAAUAUUGUUCCACUCAUCAAGAUCUACAUUUAAUAUACAGACCAUUCUUGCAUUUGACAAAGUGUUAGGAAGCUGUAGUUGAAAAUCCACAAUUCUCACAUAUAGUUUCACAUAGUUUAUGUGAGAUUUAAGAUUUGGUGAGUAUUGUUUUCUUUAACUUUCUCAAAAGGAAAAAUGGUCUAUAUUAAAAGUUUGGAUCUUGAUGAUCUCUACUUGGUAUUCAAAUGUUUUUCAUUUUAAGUAAUUUAGUUUGUCAUUUGACCAAGUUUUACCAAAACCCGUCUUGACUUUAAACACAUGUGCCUAGGAUUGGCUAAAAUUUAUCCAAAUGGAAAAAUGGACAAUGUUUCAAAUGUAGAUCAUGAUGACAUCUAAAAACUUUAUAUUCAAAAUUGUUUCAUUUGAAGUCAUCAAAUUGGUCAUGUGACCAAGUUUGAAGCACUCAAUUUUGAAUUUUGAAAGAAUUUAUAGCCACGCACCGGUUUUCAGAACGCUAGAGUGUCUCGACUUGAAAAGUCGUGAAUACCAAUACUGUUCCACUCAUCAAUAUCUACAUUUAAUAUAUAGACCAUUUUUGCAUUUUGUUGGUGCAAAAGUAGAUCUGCAAACACAGAGGGCUAAUACCCGAUUCAACGUUAAGGCGUGCCAGCCGAUUUGACCUACAAUCGACAAAGGUAGUAACUCGAAUACUUUGGUCCCGACAACAGCGAUGCGCCCGGAUGUUGUGGCCAAGAGGUAUUCAUGCGGAACUUGAGAAUUCGCCGAGGUUGACUCGAAGAAUUCCAAAGAACUCGUAGUAAAAGGAAAAUAUGCAAGUUGACGAAGUCGUCGAAAAAGUAGAUGUUGGAAUAGAUGUAAAAACUUGUGUUGGAUUGAUUGUGUAUAUUCAUUACAUCGCCAAGGGGCUUAUAUUUAUACCCUGUUCAAAAGCGUUACAACCAGACACAACUAGGUCUCCAAUUCCAAAUUGAACGAAAUCCGUAUACAAAACAAACUCUAAUAACUAUGGAAAACAUUAAAUUAUGUCCCACAACCGAUCGGUACACCACCACGACUCGAUCGACAAUUCAUGCGCCUCUCCUUGUGACCAUCGGCGAAUCACCUUCUGUCGGCAUCGGCAAUCAUCUACAUCGGCAUAGAUCAAUCACCACCCAUGGACUUGGCUGCAUCCUGCUGUUUCUCCAUCGGCACUAACCCCAUUGGCAACUCCUUUGAUAACCAGUCACCACUCUUUCAUCUACCGAUCUAUAUCUCAUUGACUCCUAGAUACACGUCCAAAGACACGUGUCUAAAAACGGUGUCAACACAUGCCCCCCAAAUUCGGAGUAUAAAAUCAUUAAUGCUCCGAAAUUCUCCUCAGUAAUGAUGCUUUUCCGCAAUUACUCCUUUCUGUCAGUAAUUAAUUACCAAAUCAAAACAACCUUAGUCUGGUUCUCCAACAUGCUCCUCGAAUCUCUCAACUUCUCGAACCGAAUCUCCCAAACAUACGUUCAUCGGCAACAUUUCUGUUAGAGAAGACUGCCGAUGAACCGACCAGGAGAUCUUGCACAGUAAGAUAUCUCCAAAAUCAUGACCGCUUGCUGUCAAAUCACCUACGUAAUGCUUUGAUUACUGUGUGAACAGUUACCAUAUCCACCUGAAGAGAUAAGUCAAAAUUGCCCCUGCCCUCUUUGUCCUAUAAAUACUUCCUUCUCCGGUACUCUUUCUCCAUCUUGUUGUUGACACUAGCUAACACCAAUUAGAUACUAGGUUGUCAUCCCCAGCAUGGUGCCAGAGUGUACAAAGGUAUUUAUAAAUAUGGAGGCUCUCUAGAAAAUAAUCUAUUCUAUCCGCAAGCGCACAGAUAAAACACCUCAUUGUAGCAUUUCACUAGGAUAAGUAUUCUAGGUAUCAUUAUUUAUAAUUUUGCUUAAGAGAACAAAAAGGAUGAAAUUAAAAUAAGGACAAAAUCUAUCAAGGCAUAGACUAGAGAUAAACUUGCAAGAACAUGAUUACUAAUGAGAAACUCAUCACACAGUCACUUACUUUGGAAAGGGGUAAACCAUAAAGAUAAUGAUAAUGAAUUAUAAGUUCAUGGGUAAAUAACACAGCGAUUAGAAAAUAGACUACUCCUCAUAUAUGUAGGUGACGUCUGAUUAGCUAGAGAAUGGAUUCAAAGUUAUCUACUAUCUACUAAGUCUCAAUCUACUCUAGUUAUCUACAAGAUCAUGUAUAGCAUAAAAGACUCUUCAUUCAUGUAUAAGGAACAUUGCUAAAGUAAAUCAGAACAUCGUAAGACUUACUCCGCAAUACAAAUUUUGCCUGUCCUAUCGACGGAGGGUGGACUAUAUAAGAAUCAACGAAGUUGUCACUAUCGCGAACGACCACACAACCCCGCCAAUAGGAUACAUUUGCAGGUAAAUAACAUCUAAGCACCAUGCCCACAUGUGAUCUACCACUUAACUCCCUCGAGUCAUAAGCUAAGCGCUUUGCAAACUUAUACAUAAACUCAUUAUCAAUCAUAACUAUACCAAAUAUAGAACUAGAGCAAACUAAGAGCAUAAUAAAUAGAGACAUAAUGUAAUUAGAACAAAUUAUUAGAGAAAGAUAUGAAUAAUACCAAUCUUUAUUACCAAAGAUCCGAAUCCAGAGCGUAGUGCUCUACUUCUCUAAUUGCUAUCUAAUCAAACCUCUAAACUGAAGGAUUAGGGAGUAGCUAAUUCUAAUUCUCUGUGGGAGAGAAGCUCUAAACCCUAACUUUGAUGGAUACCUCUGAUAAUGAUUUCUCCUCUUCUCUUCUCUCCCCCAGGGCUGGAGAGGCCUUGGUUAUAUAGUCCUUUCAAGUGAAUUUGGGUUGUCGAAUCAAACCGACAUUGAUCGCACGGUUUUCCUUGAUCCUUUAGGUCGGUGGAGCACGAUCCAAGAGUUUGGUUCGGAUUGGCCCCCAGACCUGGGCGGGCGCCCAAGGGGGGAGGGCGGGCGCCCUGCCCCCGAGCCCAUCCGGUCUCUCGUUCGUUCCCGUGGCUUCUGGACUCUUCUAGAUUGAGGAAAAUUGCGCGGCACGUAAUUAUCUCGUUGUAAACAUGACAUGUGGGCCUUCUCUCCAUAUUUUCUGAUAUCCCCCUGCAGAAAUAGAUAAACACCAAAGCUCGUGGAAUUCUGUCAGAUAAAACCCUAAUUCUAGAUGUUUGGUGCAUAUUGAUCCUUUUCCAUGUUUAUUUGAUGGUUAAUUUUAGUACUUAAGGACCGUCAACACUUGUCAUUCUACAUCCUCAAACUCACCUUCCUGGCGGUGGCACUGUUUGAGAAACUCAAGGACUCCGGCAAGGAUCUCCUCCAACAAUCUUCCGAGUCUUCGAUCCCUUCCUCCUCCCGGGAAGAAAUGGCCAUCAACUUCGUCGUCCCUGAGGUCAACUCAGCAUCCCCUUUCUUCUUUUCACCAUAUUGUUGAUCUUUCACACAAUUAUUUACUUGGUAUUUUCUUUCUUUCUCUUCCCUAUCUUUUCAACCUUCAAACCUUUAGGAAUUGGCCGAGAAAAUUGCUAUUCCCACCGAUCAACCCCACUUUCAAUGCCUUGGUCCAUUGGGAAACCCAGAUCCUACCGAUUUGAUAAAUGUAGAAACAAAUAGGAUCCCCUUUAGAGCUGAGAACUUCUCAUUAGAUCUGUGGAAAGACACCUUUCGAUCCUAGCCUAGUUCUACUAAGGGGUGGAAAGACUGGUUCCUGAGAAUCGGCAACUCAAAUGAAGUCCAAUGGGGUGAGUGUUGACGGUCCUUAAGUAUCAAAUUUAAUUAUCAAAUAAACAAAGAAAAGGAUCCAAAUGAAAUCAACAUCUAGACUUAGGGUUUUAUCUGACAGAAUUCCACGAGUUUUUGUGUUUGUCUAUUUCUGCAGGGGGUUAUCAGGAAAUAUGGAAGAAAGGCCCACACGUCAGGAUUACAUAGAGAUAUUAAUGUGUUGCGCAAUUAUCUUACAUCUAGAAGACUCCAGAAGCCACGGGAAGGAAGCGGAGGCCUAACGGGGCAAGGUACUGGGCGCCCGCCCAGUUGCCCUGGGCGCCCGCCCUCCUGCCGAGCCCAAUCAGGACUCUGUUUCGGGGAAGAUCUCCACCGACCAAAAGGAUCAAGGAUAACCGUUCAAUCUAUGUCGGUUUGAUCCAACGGCCCAUAUUCACUUGAAUGUACUAUAAAACCAGACCCCCUGGCCCCUGGAGGAGAGAGCCUCUCAACCAUAAUUCAUUAUUCUCAAGGGAGAAGAAGCCUCUGAUCAAGAUUAGAGCCACCACAUCAAUUAGACAUCUAGAUUAGCAUAGCUACAUAGGAUUAGAACUAGAAGGAGUCAAUCUUCGAUUGGUUUCCGGAUCUGUCAAGAGGACUCUUGGUAAUUCUCUAAUUGUGCUUCUAAUUGUUCUUCUAAUUAUCUUUGUUCUUCAAUAUUAUGAAUAUGACUUUGUUCUACUUCAAUAUAUUGCUUAUGACUUUGCUCUACUUGCUUAUAUUCAAGAUUAUAUUGUUCUUAGUUUAUCAUAGUUAUGUACUUGGCUUAGUUAGAUUGGAUAUAUAUACAUGCUUAGGAUCAUAUAGCGUUUAUCCAUCGGAUCCAUGGGUAAAUGAUAGAUAUUGUGUAGGCGUGGUGCUUAUACCAUAUUUUAUCUGCGAUUGUACCCAAUAUGCCAGAUCGUGGGGUAGUUCGUGAUAGUGACAGCUUCAUUGAUUCUUAUAUAGUCCCCCUCUCGUGUAUUGGGCUGGCAGAGCAAUAUUAUUACAUGGGAGUGAUUGCUAUGUUUCUCAUUUACCUUGCUAAUAUCACUAUGCAAAGGCGUAGUAUUGUCUCGCAAUGAUUGCUAAGUAUGCUUGCACUAACUAUGAUAAUGCUAGACUAUAUAGUUGAGAAUAACUUAGGAAAUAUUCUUGUAGUUCGUUCUAAUUCCAUGCUAAUGACUUUCUAGAGUAUCUAAUUGAGGUGCUUAUCAUAUUUAUAUGUGGCUAAGUUAUGAUCAGAUUAAUUAUCUUUGUCACUAUCAUUAUUUCAUAUAUCCUUUAUGUGACACUUACCCCUGUAUGAAAGAGUUAGAUACAAUGUUCUCAAUUAUACAUGCAAUGAUAGAUACUCAAUCUCAUAUUAUAUUCUGUAAUCAAUAUUGAUGAUUGUUAAUCCCUUCCCAGUGGUAAAAAUAUAAAUAACGAUACUUGGAAUACUUCCCGGUUAAAAUGCUACAUCGGUAUUAAUCUGUGCGCUUGCAGAUCCCAUUCAUUAUUUAUUUAGAAGAGCAAUUGCAUAUUUCAAUACCACGUCUCUCAUGUCACGCUGGGGAUGACAACUUGGCUUAAGUGGUAUGAGGGAUAGGUUUGGCAUUUUUGGCACCGUUACUAGAAUUAGAAAACUAAGUCUACUUUUGGUAAUGAUGUUAAGAAUACAUAACAAGCAUUUUUGGCGCCGUUGCCAGGGAAGGUUGAUUACUAAUCAGGAAUGAAUAAAGGAUUUUGAGUUAUCAUUCGCAUCACUAAUAUGAUUGAGCUUAUCUAUUCUCUUAUACACUUUUACCCCAAUAUUUUCUAUUUUAACUUAUGCAGGGGAAUGUAUGAAUAGAAGACAUCUUCUAGGAAAUUUUGUUGACAAUCCCGAAGCAUUAUUCAGAAAGACAAGAGCCAAGCUCAAGAAGAGAUCAUCAACACUUCAGCAAGAAGCUUCAUCCAAUCAAGAAGAUCACCGGAACUUGUCUUCAGAGUUCGAAGCCAUGGCGAACAAAUCAAUCUGCGAGUUCUCAGCUCCCACUAUGGACAAUAUCCACACUGGACCUACUGCAGAGAUCGAUGACAACUUUGAGCUCAAGCCUGGACUUAUCAACAUGGUGCAAUCCAACCAGUUCUGUGGGAAGGCACACGAAGAUGCUAGUGCUCAUCUCCAACACUUCCUGGAGAUUUGCAGCACAUUUACCAUAUCAGGAGUUUCCAGAGAUGCUAUACUACUUCGCCUCUUCCUAUUCUCACUAUUAGGGAGAGCGAAGCAGUGGUUCUACGCUACAAAGGAGAAGAAUACUACGUGGGCACUCUGCUCAACAAACUUCCUGGCUAAGUUCUUUCCCAUGGGCAAGACCAAUGCUCUCCGUGGGAAGAUUACAAGUUUUCAGCAACAAAAUAAUGAAUCUGUUCCAGAAGCAUGGGAGCGCUUCCAAGACUACAUCCUAGAAUGUCCCCAUCAUGGAAUGGAGAGUUGGCUAUUGAUGCAGACGUUCUAUCAUGGGCUCGGCAACAGUGCCCGAGAAACCAUGGAUGCUGCAGCUGGAGGAGCAUUCUUAUCACUUACCAUACCAUAAGCCACAGCUCUUGUGGAGAAGAUGGCGUCCAACCAAGGCUGGAAUGAAGAGAGGACCCAGACACGCAAGAGAGGUGGAGGUAUGCAUCAGCUCAAGGAGGUAGACAUGCUGUCUGCAAAGCUAGACCUGCUCAUGAAGAAGCUCGAUGAUAGAGUUGGAGAUAAGAAGGAAGUUAUGCACAUCUACGACUCUCACAUGACUUGUGAGGAGUGUGGAGAUACUGGACACUCAGGCAAUCACUGCCCUGAGAUGCUUGAGGAUGUGAACUACAUCAACAAUAACAACAACAACUACUACAACCGUCCUCAACAAAAUCAAGGUUGGAAUCAACAGAGGCCUAACUACUCAGGUAAUUAUCAAGGUAACAAUUCUUACAACAAUAAUAAUAAUUUUCCACCUCUGAGAGAGUUAGUGCCUAAUCAAGGAAAGCUAAUGGAUAACCUAUCUAAGAAAUUGGCAUCUAAUGAUAAAAUGCUAGAAAAUAUAAAUAAUAGAAUGGAUAAUUUCUCUACUACCAUGAAGAAUCAAAUUAGCUUUAAUAAAAUGAUUGAAUCUCAAUUAAAUCAAAUAGCUACUGCUGUUCCUGCUACUAACCCCGGUAUACCAUCACAGCCGGAAGGAUUAGAAUCUGCAAAUCUUGUAGACAUGUUUGAUGCAGGUAAUUGGAGUAACCCCAUCACUGAAUUCACUACUGACCUUCUACCGAUCAAGAGAGGUGAUCCAGGACACCCCGUCAUCCCGAUCACCAUCGGCAUGGUGGACGUCCCAGAAGCACUCUGCGACUUUGGCUCCAGUGUCAACAUUAUGCCCAGGGUACUCUAUGAAAAAUUCUUUACAUAUCCUUUAUUAGAGACAACCAUGUGUUUGUAGUUUGCAGAUCAGGCAUUAAGUUUUCCAAAAGGAAUAUUGAAGAACCUUUGUGUCCGAGUUGGUACCUUUUACGCCCUAGCAGACUUCGUGGUGAUAGAGACCGGUAAUGAUGAGAGAGCACCUAUCAUCCUAGGGAGGCCAUUCUUGAACACCUCGGGAGCUGUCAUCUACGCUAGUGCUGCCAAGAUCAGUUUCUACAUCAAAAGGAGGAAGGAGACAUUUUUCUUCAGGAACAAGACUACACAAAUCUCAGAUCAAUCCAGACAUAAAUCAAGGAAGAGGACCAACAGGAGGAACAGUAACAAGCAAGUGUGGACCGAGUCAGCUAAGAUGGUCACUGCAGUUCAUGGAGGCCAAGAUCAUCAACUUAAGUCACCAUUUUUGACCAAGAAGGACGACCCAGGAAUGCCAAGCAUCUAUUGCUCCAUAAAUGGAAACAACUUCUACAAGACGACUUGCGACACCGGAUCGGGCGUCAACAUAAUGGCUGCAGUCGCCUAUCGGCUCUUGUUCGGAACCAUGCCCCCAAAACCAACAUACAUUCAGCUCCAGAUGGCAGAUCAGACAUUUCGAGAAGUUAAAGGAACAGUAACUGAUGUCCCAGUCAAAAUAGACGAUCAUUUUGUCUACACAGAGUUUCAGGUUAUUGACAUGGGAGAAGAUGAGUACGAUCCACCCAUCAUCCUUGGAAGACCGUUCCUCAGCACCGUUAAAGCAAUUAUCUACAUUGGAACUGGAGAAGUCCAUAUGCACUUCCCCUCAGAGAAGGUACGCCGCUAUUUUACUAACCCUAAUUAUAUCUUUGAAGAAUCUAAGCAGGUAAGAAAACGACGCAACCGCAACCAAAGGAGGCAGAUCAUCAAGGACGGAUGGGCAGACUAUGAAGGAGAAGUUGUAAGGUCAGAAGACGUAGAAUUUAAACAGAAUUAUCCAGAGGAGACCGAAGCACCGAGUCAGGUAUGGAAAGAGAAGAUAACUAUACAUGAAGAGGAGGUGCCCCGGAAGUACCGACUCCACCACCCAACGAAUCCCAGGACAAUUGAGAAAGAGGAGAGUCCCGUUCGGAGGACUUAAAAAUACCGAACGCCUUGACAAGAGGUAAACUUGGUAGUUAUCUUUUUCCCUUUCAAUUAUUUAAAUAGUUUGCUUAGUUAAUCAUGUUUAUACCAUCCUAAAAAAAGAAAAUAAAAUUGUGAAAAACAGUAAGCCCCAUGUGAGUAUACGAGUGGCAUAAAACCCUAAGUACAUUCACUGUAGUGGCAUAAAAAUAAAAUAAAAAUUUCUUUUCUGCUUUAUAAAAUGAAAAUAUAAAAAUAGGGAGUAAUAUUUAUUAAGGAGACUCAACAUGAUAAAGGCUAGAUAUUUAUGCUAACACUUAAUCAAUUCCACAAGCUUUGUUGUCUAUUUGAGCUCCACAGAAUUUAAGAAUCAAGAAGACUAGCAGACGGAGGACAUUCUAAUCGCUGUCAGAAUGCUACUGACUUUCAAAUACACCUCUGCCACCUGCUAGCUACAUCAAGAGAAAUUACGACAAAAUUCUGCUUGGGGGAGAGCACCCCCAUUUAUCCCGAUAAGUAUUUCUAUCUAUCUUUAUACUUAUACUAUAUUAAAAUAUAGAUAUACAUAACUAUGGAAAACCAAAUAAAGAUUUUAUGCUUAUAUAUAUAUCUUUUGCUUAGUGUGUUUAAUAAAUAAAUAAAGAGGCUAUGCUAAUCUGUAUCUGAAUAAAACUCUAGCAUGGAUAUGAUGAAUAGUUGCUCUGCCUAAUUUGCACAUUUUAAGUUCUCUCUCAAGUUUAGACAUAACUGUUAUAAUUUAAAGCUUGCUCUAGACCUAAACUUGUGGGAUGAAAACUUGAUCUGAAGUCUAAGUUGUUAACGGAUAUGAUAUGGGAAGGUUGAGCUGCUGUUUAUCUGUUCGUAGAGAUGCUAGAAUUCUGGAGAAAUUUAUCUUUUAAAAUCUUUAAAAUGUUGCAUGAUGAGUUCCUGUAUGAUGAGAGUGCUUGCUUGCUAGACUUUGAGUUCCUGUUGAAAUUCCUACCAUAGCCAUAUAUACAUGCUUGCUUGAGCCACACAUUUACUAUUUACUACUUAUGAGCAUUGAGUGUGGUCAAGCUGUGUAGACCCUUAGGAGCUUGUCAUGUGGUUAAAUCAAGAUUCACUUGCACGUUCACUCAUAUAUGCUACUUCUACUCCGGAAGUACCAUCCACAUAUAUCCACUCAUUCCAUCUCGAGAACCACCCAAAAAUAUUCUACUCCUAAUCCAGGAGAGAAUGACCAAAAAUAUUUCUAUUUUUCCCUUGUGAAAUAAAUGCUCCCGUUAUCUUGUUACUACCACUUGUUAUAUUAUCUCAAGAGAUGAGUGCUCUAAAAAAAGAAGAUGAAAAAAAGAUACGAGGAAAUAAAAAGGGGCAAGUGCCCGGAACCUCGAAAGAAAAGAAAAAGUGAGACGAGAGGUAAAAAUGGACAAGUGUGCGACAGUAGAAUUAGGGGUACAAGAUACCCACCUGAGAGAAAAGAAAAAUAUAGAGCAUCUCAUUCUCCUCAUAAGGUUUCAAAAAGCAAGGAAGGUAUGUAUCCUCUCAAAAGAGCAAAAGUAGAAUUAGACUUCCACUAUUGUUAUCACCAUCAUCACCAUACACCAUUCAUUCGCCACACAUGCACAUCUUGAUUUGACUUAUUGAUUUGUUUCUUUGGAUCCAUGGUUUGACUAUACAAUAAAUGUCUUGUAAGUAUGUAUACUUUAUCUCCCACCUAUGAGCUCCAGAUAUUAAAGCCUUAUUAGAGUGGGGUGAGAGAGAAGGCAAUGUCACUAUACCUUAUACCACAAAUACUACAUACUUUUUAAGAGAAGGCAUAUACCAUCACUGCCUUGGUAAGGAUCCAGAAAUACCACAAAAGAGAGAUAUAAGAGAGUCAUACAAGGAAUCUCUAAGUUUUAUUUGAAAAUUGUCGAGGGUAUCAGUAAGGGGUACCCUCAGCGAUGCGCAUUAUGAGAUUGCCCGUACGCAGGUCGAGACCCUCAAUUCGACGCUCUAAUCUUACGUAUGUGCCGCCAUCGACGGCCGCAGCCUCGAAGACGGAAAUAGCGUCGAGCGAAUCGAUCAGGCGUCGAGCGCCGGUUACCGUCGAAUACGGAACAGGCUCAUGCGAACCGGGGGGCGUCGAGCGCGAGGACGCCAUCCGCCGCCUGACGCGCGCACGCGGGCCGGAGCAUUAAAUGCGCCUGAUGCUUCCCCACCUAACGCACAGGUCACGGGAGGCGUGAUAGGGAACAGGCUUCCGUCCCAUCAAUCUUUUUGCAGCCUUCCCACCGAACGACCCAGGGCGUGUCAGGACGCAGGAAACAAGGAUGGAACGUCUAAUCGGGACCCCCUCGAGACACCUAAGGUCAGCGCUCCAGAUAUCAGCAUAUUACACGGCGUCCGACCCUCGACCGAACAGGGUCCCUUCCUAGGGACAAGUUGGGCGUCGACUGACCACACCACAGCUACCCCACCGGAUCCGCCGCCAUACCGUACAAGCAUGCGACCUCAGAACCAGCGCGAGGCGGUGGGCAGGGCAGAACGCAGGAGCACGCGUAAUCAUCACCGGGCUAUCAAGAUGGGACGGCUCGAGGCCAUGCCGUACGGAAGCCUCGAGUAGGUCGGCGCUCCAUGCGGCUAUCGACCCCUACUCUAACAUCUACGCAUGUACCCUGUGUCUCUCCUUGGAGCUAUAAAAGGAGAGACUCAGGAAUAGAAGGGGCAUGACCACGACACAAGACCACACUCAUACGUAGAAGAGCUCCACACUUCAUACCACGCUUGUAUUCGCCCCUGUACAAGCACUUAGGUGCAAGAUAAUACAAACUCUCUCCCCCCGCUGGACGUAGGGCCUUCUCUUGCCCGAACCAGGAUAAAUCUUUGUGUCUUCUUGCAUCACCAUCCGGGAAAGGGAGCACGCAUACAAAUUUACUCGUUGGUGUGACCCCCCGGGGGAAAAACACCGACAGUUGGCGCGCCAGGUAGGGGUCCUACGUGUUUUUCAUCGAUUUCCCACUACUUUCCGGAUGGCUACUCUUGCCUCGCCGUUUCCGCGCUCCACGGUGAUUUGGUUUGGGAGUCUCGAGUUCAUGUCUAUGGGCUCCGGCUAUGACAUGAUCUUGCUCUCAGUCAAAGGACCAGGAGGAGCCCACGUUACGCCAGCACGAUUGAAGGCCCCGAGACGCCCUCUCCACCACGCCUCCCCGCCUAAGAAGAGGCACGGACAGCACCACCGUGGCCCCUCUGCUUCAGCACGACCAACAACUCGUGCGAGGCAGGACGUGGGCCACAAGUCGGCAGCACCGUGUGAUGGAGCAACAAGCGCGACGACACAGCACCGCGCGACGACGGGAGGGGACGCGUCUCACGCGCUCUCCCCCACUGCAGCUAGGCUACUUCCACACGGGUUGUUCUCUCCCAGGGCGGCACUGCCGUUCGGGUUGGACAACGCCGCGGCGUCGCUCGCCAGGGCGAUAUGCCCAAACGCCCAGACAUACGUAGAAGGACCAAUGGUCCUCCCACGUAGCUCUGAAGCGCGGUGGCCGGCGUCCGAGCAGCCGGACCUUUCCCGAGUACGAGGCCUCCGUCGUCUAGGCCCCGGACGAUACUCGAUCAUCUCCCUCAGGCAACGAUUGCUAGAGGAAGGACGUGGGUGUUUCUACGCCGCCGAACCGGACUCUGACUCCGAGACAGAUAGCUAUGACCCUACGAGGGAAUGCUAUCACAUCGACGGGGCGGUAGAAACUACUGACGAGACACGGGAUGCUGCUGCGGGUGGUCGAGCCCCCGCGGCGCGAGAAGACCCCAGGACGCCUGGGAACGACGGACAAGUCGACACCCUCCCUCAGGAAGACAGAACCGCGCAGCUCGCGCAGCUGCGGGAGCUCAAAAUGAAGCUCGACGAGGACCGCGAGCGCCUCGUCCUGCUAGAGCAAAUCCUCGAGCAAGACCUGCCCUACCCGCCGGGCGGAAGUGUCCGCAGACGCGCUCGAGAGGUACAUCGACAGAUCGUCGGCGACGCAGAGCCAGAGCAACCCGUCAGCCGUUUCCCUCGAGCAGGCCAGAAUGUAGUGGCAGCGACGAUGUUGCUACGUAACAUGCCAGAGCCGUCGAAUUCCCAGGCCCGACGCAUUCGAGAUGAAGUACAGACAUUGCUCCAAGUGGCGGCGGUUCAACAAGCCGAAAGUUCGGCGUCUCGACGACGAGGAGCUGCCACAGAGAGGCGCGACGAACAGCCUCUAAACGAAGAGGUGUCAGUCCAUCAACAACCUCCCCCUCGAGGUAGAAAGACCGCUCUCAUCCUGCAUGUCGACAAUCAACGUCGACACGACGCGCGGCACGACAUCAAAGAAAAUCGACGCCGCCGACACGGAGACGCGGAAGAGCGUGGUUAUAGCGCGCAUCGCGGUGGGAGAUACGACAGCGACGAGGACCGGGUGGCCCCCGAGCCACCGGGCCCACGGGUGUUCAGCAGGGCGAUCCGCAGCACGCCCCUUCCCAAUCCAUUUCGACCCCCAACCAGCAUCGCGAAGUACAAUGGAGAGACCAAGCCAGAGUUGUGGCUGGCCGACUUCAGGCUGGCCUGUCAGCUAGGAGGCGCUCGAGGUGAUGAUCGAGCCAUCAUCAGACAGCUACCCCUUUUCCUCUCCGACACCGCCCGUCGAUGGCUCGAGGAACUCCCUGCCAAUCAGAUCCACAACUGGGUUGAUCUGGUCAGAGUCUUUGAGGGUAACUUCAAAGGGACCUACAUACGGCCAGGGAACUCGUGGGACCUCAGCAAGUGCAAGCAGAAGCCGGGAGAAACUCUUCGGGAGUAUGCUCGACGCUUCUCGAAGCAGCGCACUGAGCUGCCGCACAUCCCUGACCACGACGUCAUCUUGGCGUUUGUCUCAGGCACCACCAGUCGAGACUUGGUGCGGGAAUUAGGUCGCAAUCGACCUCAGACCGUCGACGAGCUGAUGGACGUAGUAGCCAACUACGCGGCAGGGGAGGAGGCAGUCGGCGCCUUCUUCAGCUCGGAAGGAAGAAAAGGCAAGCAGCCCGUCGACGAAGAUGGGACCCCCAGUCGAGGCCUCAAGAAAAAUAAAAAGAAGCAGAAAGUGCGGCAGUUCCACCAGGAAGAUUCCGAUGACAACCUUGUCGCCGCCAUGGAUCGAAAGAAGCCUCGAGGCCCUCCGGAUGGAGGCAUCUUCGACAAGAUGUUGGAGGAGCCGUUCCCUUACCAUAAGGGAGGCGCCAACCACAAGCUCAAGGACUGUCGUAUGCUGAAGAGGCAUUUCGACGGUCCAGGGUUCAAAAAAGAUACGCGUGAUGACUCCAAGAAAGAGAAGGCUGGCAGCAAGGAGGACAACAAAGAUGACGACGGCUUCCCCGCCGUCCACGACUGCUACAUGAUCUAUGGCGGGCCCUCCACUCAAUUAACCAUGAGGCAGCGCAAAAGGGAGCGUCGCGAAGUCUUUGCAGCAAGAAUGGCGGUGCCCCAGUACCUUAGCUGGUCAAGCACUCCUAUCACUUUCGACCGAGAGGACCACCCCGACAAGGUAGUCGCCCCAGGCGUCUACCCGCUCGUCGUCGACCCCAUCAUCGUCAACACCCGACUCUCGAAAGUGCUGAUGGAUGGUGGCAGCAGCCUCAACAUCAUCUACCUCGAGACCCUCGACCUCCUCGGCAUCGAUAGAGGACGCCUCCAGCCAAGCGCCGGCGGUUUCCAUGGCGUCGUGCCAGGGAAAAAGGCACUGCCAGUAGGUCGAAUUGACCUACCGGUCUGCUUCGGCACGGCGGCAAACUUCAGGAAGGAGACCCUCACCUUUGAGGUGGUUGGGUUCCGAGGCACGUACCACGCCAUCAUCGGGCGCCCGGGCUAUGCCAAGUUCAUGGCUAUACCCAACUACACCUACUUGAAGCUGAAGAUGCCCGGUCCCAAAGGCGUCAUCACUGUCAGUUCCUCCUUCGAGCAUGCGUACGAGUGCGACGUCGAGUGCGUCGAGUACGGGGAGGCGGUCGAGAACUCCACCGAGCUCGUUGCGAAGCUCGAGGCCCUGGCCGCUGAGGCUCCAGAGCCUAAGCGCCACGCUGGCAGCUUCGAGGCGGCGGAAGGAACCAAGAAGAUCCCGCUCGACCCCAACAACUCCGACGGCAAAAUGCUGACGAUCAGCACCGACCUCGACCCCAAAUAGGAAGCCGUGCUCGUCGACUUUCUCCGUGCAAAUGCUGAUAUGUUUGCAUGGAGUCCCUCAGACAUGCCAGGCAUACCGAGGGAAGUCGCCGAGCACUCCUUGGAGAUUCGAGCCGGUUCCAAGCCAAUGAAGCAUCGGUUGCGCCGAUUCGACGAAGAGAAGCGCAAGAUCAUUGGCGAGGAAGUCCACAAGCUUUUGACGGCCGGAUUCAUCAAGGAGGUUCAUCAUCCUGACUGGUUAGCGAACCCUGUAUUAGUUAAGAAAAAGAACGGGAAAAUGAGGAUGUGUGUCGAUUAUACUAGUCUGAAUAAAGCAUGUCCAAAAGUUCCCUUUCCAUUGCCACGCAUUGACCAGAUUGUCGAUUCUACCGCGGGAUGUGAAACCCUUUCUUUCCUUGAUGCAUAUUCUGGUUACCACCAAAUAAAAAUGAAGGAGUCCGACCAGCUCGCGACCUCUUUCAUCACGCCUUUUGGGAUGUAUUGCUACGUGACCAUGCCAUUUGGGCUUCGAAACGCCGGAGCCACGUAUCAACGUUGCAUGCUCCACGUAUUCGGCAAACAUAUAGGGUCAACGGUCGAGGCCUACGUCGACGACAUUGUCGUCAAGUCAAAGCGACGAGGAGACCUGAUCCAGGACCUCGAGAUUGCCUUUAGCUGCUUACGCACCAGCCGGAUCAAGCUCAAUCCCGAGAAGUGCGUUUUCGGUGUGCCUCGAGGCAUGCUCCUAGGAUACAUCGUUUCACAGCGCGGCAUCGAAGCCAACCCCGAAAAAGUCUCGGCCAUCACGAAAAUGGGGCCGAUCCGAGACAUCAAGGGUGUACAGAGAGUCACAGGGUGCCUGGCGGCUCUGAGCCGUUUCAUCUCGAGACUGGGAGAAAAAGCAUUACCAUUAUAUCGACUCCUAAAGAAGGUCGAGCGCUUCGCUUGGACCCCCGAGGCUGAGGAAGCACUCGAAAGACUGAAGAAGACGCUGACCUCGGCACCAGUCCUGGUCCCACCUCAACCUGCAGAGCCGCUGCUCCUCUACGUCGCGUCGACGACCCAGGUCGUCAGCGCGGCGGUUGUGGUCGAGAGGCAGGAGGAGGGACAUGCGCUACCGGUUUAGAGGCCAGUGUAUUUCGUCAGCGAAGUGCUUUCGGAGACCAAAGCACGUUACCCCCAGAUCCAGAAGAUGAUUUAUGCCGUAAUCCUUGCCCGUCGCAAGCUGCAGCAUUACUUCCUUGGCCACCCCAUCACGGUGGUCUCGUCUUUUCCUUUAGGUGAAAUAAUCCAGAGCAAAGAAGCCACGGGAAGAAUAGCAAAAUGGUCGGUUGAGCUCAUGAGUGAGACUCUCACUUAUGCCCUGGUAGACUUCAUCGCAGAAUGGACGGACACCCAGCUCCCCCCGUCCCAGGUCCAGGCGGAACUAUGGACGAUGUAUUUCGAUGGGUCGCUCAUGAAAACUGGAGCCGGAGCCGGCCUGCUGUUCAUCUCACCUUUGGGCGUCCAUAUGAGGUACAUAAUCAGGAUUCAUUUUGCCGCAUCUAACAAUGUCGCAGAAUAUGAGGCCCUCGUCAACGGUCUCAAGAUCGCUAUCGAGUUAGGAGUCCGACGCCUCGACGUCCGAGGUGACUCCCAACUCGUCAUCGACCAAGUAAUGAAAACCUCGAGCUGCCACGACCCAAAAAUGGAAGCGUACUGCAAGGAGGUCCGUCGACUCGAGGACAGGUUCCACGGUCUCGAGCUUGUCCAUGUCGCUCGACGCUACAACGAAGCAGCCGACGAACUCGCCAAGAUCGCAUCGACCAGAGGCACGGUGCCGCCUGAUGCAUUCUCAAAAGAUCUUCACGUGCCAUCCGUCGACCUAGGCACGGGGGCUGGCGUCGACGCCACCACCACCCAACCAGCCAAUGCUGUCGAUACGCUCUUGAUGGUGGAAGAGAUGAUGGAGAUAGAAUGACGGCCAGGCCGACCAUUCGAUUGGCGCACACCGUACCUCGACUGCCUUAUCCGCGGCGAGUUGCCAGAAGACAGGUCAGAAGCUCGUCGUAUCGCUCGAUGGGCCAAAUCAUAUGUGAUCUAUGGCGAAGACAACGAGCUAUAUCGAUGGAGCCCGACGGGGGUCUUACAACGUUGCAUCACCGUAGAAGAAGGCCGAAAACUCCUCGAUGACCUGCACUCGGGGGCUUGUGGCCACCGCGCCGCUCCACGGACCCUUGUAGGGAACGCUUUUCGGCAAGGCUUCUACUGGCCAACGGCCGUGGCGGAUGCCAUCGAGCUCGUACGCUCGUGUCAUGGGUGCCAGUUCUACGCCAAGCAGACGCAUCUACCCGCCCACGCUCUUCAGAUGAUCCCCAUCACCUGGCCGUUUGCGGUAUGGGGGCUCGAUUUAGUAGGACCUCUACAAAAGGCGAAAGGAGGAUACACCCAUUUGCUGGUGGCCAUUGACAAGUUCUCCAAAUGGAUCGAGGCUCGACCCAUCACCAACAUCCGCUCCGAGCAAGCCGUCCUCUUCUUCACCGACAUCAUCCAUCGGUUUGGGAUCCCCAAUGUCAUCAUCACCGACAACGGCACCCAGUUCACCGGCAGAAAGUUCUUGGAUUUCUGCGAUCAGCAUCAUAUCCGUGUGAACUGGUCUGCAGUAGCCCACCCUCGAACUAACGGCUAGGUCGAGCGUGCCAACGGAAUGAUUUUGCAGGGACUCAAGCCAAGGAUCUACAAUCGAUUGAAGAAAUUCGGCAAGAAAUGGGUCGAGGAGCUUUCCUCAGUCCUAUGGAGCCUUAGGACAACGCCAAGCAGGGCCACAAAAUACACCCCGUUCUUCAUGAUCUACGGCUCUGAGGCUAUCCUCCCCACAGACCUCGAGUAUGGGUCACCUCGACUCAAGGCUUACAACGAGCAAUCGAACAAAGAAACUCAAGAAAACGCGGUCGACCAACUCGAGGAGGCUCGAGACAUGGCCCUCCUCAACUCUGCCAGAUAUCAGCAGAGACUCCGACGCUACCACGACAAGCACGUGCGCAAGAGGGACCUCAACGUAGGCGACCUUGUCCUACGACGCCGGCAAAGCAACCAAGGACGCCACAAGCUGACUCCACCUUGGGAAGGUCCGUAUGUGGUGGCCGAGGUCCUUAAGCCAGGAACGUACAAAUUGGCGGAUGAAAAGGGGGCGAUCUUCACCAACGCAUGGAACAUCGAACAGCUACGUCGAUUCUACCCCUAGAAGUCCUAAACUUACGUUCCUACAUUUUGUACGAAGACUUUGUAAACGAACGCAUGAAUAAAUAAAGUCUUUCUCUCGAGCGACUUCUUUUUGUGCCAAAAAUAGUUACGAGUCAUAGUCUCGACGUUAAAAGGGGAUGCCGACCAUGACCCAUCAUAGUCAGCACCCCCUCGGGGGCUACCAGGGGGACGACCCCCCCCCAAGCGUCGAAAAAACCAAGAAGUUUUCUUUUCUUACUUAGUAAACCUUGCACGGUUCGAGUAGCUAAGGCACCUCGAGCCCCCCAAAGGCCGAGGGAUAACGAGCCGGAGAACUCCCACGCCCCCGGGCUACGGAAACUCUACUCACUUCCUUACCCUUGAGGUAAUCGAGGUUGUUUUUUGACCAAAGAUCGAGCAAGGGAUACAAACGUAGGAACAAAGAGAAACAAAAGAACCUCGAGCGGAAAGACAAAUAAGCAUUUAACAAUCACAAAAAGAUACUGUAUCGCCUAACAGCAGAAUUAAUAAAGUAUCAUACAAGGGGCCUCAGGCGCCCUGAGCAGGCUCGCAGGCCUCAGUCCGCGGCACGAUCCUCACCGCACUCGCCUCCGCCCGAGCUAGCCUCAGGAGGGAGCACCUCAGGCUCGAAGAGCUUGGCCAACCUUUCCCCAGGAGCCUCCGCGUCGUCGAUCAAGGCAUGAAGCCUCUCCUCGUUCUCCGCGUCGGUCUUGGAGAUGUCGGUGACGAAGCCAUGGGACACCACCUCCAUGUCGUAGGAGAAGCCCGAGCAGACAACCGCCAUCGCCCGCUUCAACCCGAGGUGGAGGGCGUCCCGCACUCGGUCUCACAGCGUCGUGCCUAUGUAGCACAACUGGUCGACCAGGGCGUCACCUCGAGCGUCCUCCCUUGACUCAUCCAUAGGCUCGACCUCCCAAGAGGUCGAGAGAUCGCUUAUCGCCGUCCGCACUCGACGGUUCAAAGCAACCUCAGCCUCGAGCUGAGCCUUGGCGUUGCGAGCCUCGGCUUGGGCGGCUAGGAGUUCGUCCUUGAGCCCUGCAAAAGCCAAUAUAAAGAAGCUUUAGGAAAAAUGCAAGCACACCUCGAAAAAGUAAUUCGACAAAAGAAACAUACCUUUGAUGCUCUCCUCUAUGGCCGUGUUCUCGCCGACCAAUCUGGUGUUGGCACGCUCGAUCUCUCUGUUGGAGCGCGCCAGCUCAGUAUUGGCGACGCGGAGAUCUUCGAUCACCCUGCCAGCCUGAGCAACGGCUCAACUCUUCUCCAGCAAUUCUCCCUUCAGACGCUCGACGUCGUCAGAGAGACUGCGGGAGCGAGCCCGCUCCGCCUCGAGGUCUUCGAGGGCCUUCUUCUUUACGUCCUCGGCGGCACCCCUUGCGACCUCACUGUCCACGUACGCCACUUUCAUCUUCUGGAAGGAAUCGCGGAGGGAGUCCAGGUCGGUCCUGAGAAGGCCCUUCUCCUUCUCCAGGUCCGCAACGAUGCUCUUGUAGGACAGGGCCUCCUCCCGGGCUCUGGACGCGGCCUCCUCGACCGUAAGAGCCCGCUCCCGUAGCUGCAUCGCCUCCUCCUCCACCUUCUUCAAGGCCUCUCGGGCCUCGGCCAAAGCAGCCUCCCUCACCUUCUUCUCCUCCUCGAGUGCUAUGAGAUCUUUGUAAGCUUUAAGGAGCUUUUCCUGCGACUCGAGGAGUUGAUCCUUGAGGAGGGGAAGCUGCUCCCAACCGCCCCUCGUGGCGUGUAUGAAGCUGGACUUGAUGCGAGAGGUCUCUUUCAUAUCCUGCGAAUCAAGGGUCGGAUGGAUUAGAAUACAGAAACCAGGAAGCACCAUGAAGAUUGGAGUUCGAGAAACACUUACAAAAUAAGCAGGCCCGAGCCCGUUGUUGAUGACGUCCGAUAGGAGCCCCACCACGUGCUUCAUCCAAAGGCGGAGCUCCUCGACAUGCUCCCACUUCUCGACCUCCUUCUUGUCGUCGAGGAAGAUAUUGGGCUCGGACGGGUCGGUGGAAGCUCGGAUACGAAUCCGAUCGGGACACCAGUUCUCCAUCUCCCGAUCAGCCCGCGCCUUGACGCCGCGGAUAAAGUUCUCGACGGUCUCGAGGGAACCCCCGUGGCGCAAGAACAGGUCGGCGAGGCAAGGGAACCGCCCGUCGUCAUCCACCGUCUUCCAGGUACCGUCCUUGCUCCCUGACGACCCAAUCUCAUCCUCCUCAGAGGGAAAGUGGUCCUCCCAUGCUCGACGCUCCCGGAGGAACCCUGGGGUGAUCCCGUCCAUGCCGUAGAUCGUCCUCUUGAUCUCGGACUCGGGGUCGGUGGGGGUGCGCAUCAUACAGGCGAGCGCCACCACUCCGUCCGCUCGCCCCGACUCUGCCCGGAUCGUGGCAGGCGCCCCCGGGAGGAGCCACGCUGGGGUGGGAGGGCCGUACACCGGCAAAUUUUCCUCCUGAUCGCCGGGCUCUUGCGGCGCCAGUGGCGCCGGUUCGGCCAAACCUUGAGGCUGGGGCUCGAGUGGCUCGUCCUCUUGGCCCCCCUGCUGCUGCUGCUGUUGCUGCCCCUGCUGCUGCUGCUCCUCCUGCUGAUGCUGCAGCUGCUCCUCCGGCUGGGGUUGCUGCUGCUGCUGCUGCUCCAGUGACUGCCGUGCCGCCUCGCGCUCCCGCUGUUCAUCCUCCUCCCUCUUCUUUUUCUGCUCCUCGAGGGUGCGGAGGCCGGCGGGCCAGGGAGUUGAUCCCUCGACAUGAGGGGUCGACGUUUCCUCCUCCAUGGGGCGGGCACCCCCAGACGCUCUGUCACCAUCAGACGUGUCGCUGAUGGUGAUGGGUUCCCCCUCGACCCCCAAUCUAGGGGGCUCGGGGGCUCCCUCUGACACUUUCGUCUGGGGCGCCUCACCACCAGUCGGCAGCGAUGGAGUAGGCGCUGGACGAGACGGAGCCCUCUCGACGCCGGCUGGAGGUUGGGAGCUGGAGGAGCCUACGAAACAAAGGGUAAGGGUCAGACGUUAUGAUAACCGACACAAGAACAUCGCAACGCCCAGAAAUAAAAUACGAACCUGUUUCCUUGGGGGCGGCACCCGUCUUGAGCCUCUUUGCCAUGGAUGGUUGGGCCUGCUCAAGGGUCCGCUUUAGCCUAAAAAAAAGGUAGGCAUAUGAGGAAAGGUGGAAGAAUGGGAAGACAAAAACCGCAACAUCAAAAAAGGCUUACCCCAUAGGGAGAACGGCUCCCCUCCCGCUACCCCGACCAAUGGGCCUCGAGCCACCCCGCGUUAGAGCUCCAGGCCCCUCGAGGGCAGGUACUGGCCUAGGCGCGUUGGUCCCCGCCUGGCGGGCGCCGGGACUGGCGCUCCUACGGCCGGCAUCUCCUUUCUCAGAGGCCGCGGCGCGGCCACGAGUUAGCGGCCCCGACGCCUGGGGCCUAGCCAGACCGCUCUCCCUGGGCACUGGGGGAGGGCGCGGUGCGUCUUGGCCCGCCUUGGGCGCGGGAGGGGUGUCAGCCCGAGGGCGACGGGAUCCGCUCGGACCCUCCUCUGGCGCCUCCGUCCGGGGGGCGUCGACGUCGCCUCGAGGAGGGCCCUCGAGAAUCCGAUCGAGGCGCGACGCCAUCCCGUCAGAGUCGUCGCUGUCCUCGUCGUCAUCGUCAUCAUCAUUGGGGGAUUCUUCCUCAGGCUCCCCCCUCUGCCUGGAUUUGGCUCGACGCGCCUCUAAUGCUUGGCGGUCGAGGUUCUUCUUCUUCUCCCCCUUUUUUGCAGAGUCCUUGGCAGACUUUAGCUUUUCGGCAGAUUGGCGCCGUUUGUCACGAUCGACCUCGUCCUCCUUUAUCGGAGGCCUCGAGGACCGGAGAUCAAUCCGACCCUGCCAAAACUAAGGUAGACUUAGAAAAAAGAGAGGGGAGAAAGGAAACCCAGAAUCGAGGCUGUGCGCAAGAAGAAAGCGUACCAGAUCGAUCGAGCCUGCGUCAGGUCUCAUGGGGAAGCCGUUAACAUGCUCCGGCUGAAAAUCACCGGCAAUUGCAGCCCUGACUCGGGCCGCGACUUCGUCGUCCGCCGGAGCCUCGUUGGACAUCCGACACGCCUCGAGGUCCCGAGAGGAGACGCCAGGGCCCAUCUCGUCCAUCCUCAACGGUCGUGACAUCAGAGGGAGAACUCUCCGGUGAUGGACGGCCGAGAGGACGAGAGCGGCGGUCAAACCCUCCUGGCGAAGCUUCUUCAGGGCGUCGAGGAGGGGGUCGAGCCCAGAUUGAUGAGCUUGGACGACGCCGUAUGUCCAGUCCGCUGGACGCUCCAAGAUUAGACGGCCCGAGUAGGAAGGCAGGAGGUUGUCGUCGUUCCGCAGGUAAAACCACUGGGAGUCCCAGCCGGCGUGGUUGGUCGACAACCCUACCGGGAUGUACUCCCGCGGCCUGUCCGUCUUCCCCGUCUUCUGCACCAGAUUGAGGCAUCCCGCCCGCACGGGCUUCCUUACGCCCGUGGUUCCGGUGGGGGCGUGGAAAAGCUCGCCCCUGUAGAGGUGGAGCCACAGCUCCCAGUGCGGCAUCAUCCCCAGGUAGCCCUCACACACGGCGGCGAAAACCGCCGCUACGGUGAUGGCGUUCGGAGAGAAGUGCUGGAGCUCGACCCCGUAAUGGAAGCAGAGGGCUCGCAUGAAGCGGCUCGGGGGCGCGCCCAGACCGUGGCGGUGGAACUUGGCGAACGACACCACGUAGCCCUCAAGCGGCUGAGGCCCCCUGUGACUCGCCGGCGGCGCGAUCCACUCCGGCGACGAUAGCGAGGUGCGGCGGCGCAGCAGUCCCUCUUUCUCAAGCUCUAACAGCCGGCGCUCCGUCAUCGACGACGGGCGCCAGUCGUCGGCGGCGACGAGUCUUACAGGCAUCUCGGCUGGAGGGACGGUGGAUUCACUACAGCUCGAGGAGGCGUGUGCGCGUGAGACGGCGAGAAAGCAAAGGCAUCAAGGGAAUAAGAGCGAGAAGGCGGAAGGGAGAGGAACGGCGGCGACGCGAUGACGUAUUUAUAGGCAGCAGUCCGCCAACGGACAGAUCCGAGAAAUAAGGUAACUCCCCCCGUAAAUGCGCCGUCUGACAGUCCUUUCUCUCCUCACAGGCCGGACUCUCCGAAUUCCCCGCCGAUACAGUGUCGCAACGUCACCCGCCUAAAAAGGCGCGCCCAACGGGCAGAAAGGCGAACCGCCACGGCCACUUCCUUACUUCGUAAGCCAAGGUAUGCGCCCACAAUAGUCUCGAGAGGUCGAUGGCUGGCCCGUCGAAAGGGUUCGACAGCCGAUCUCGAGCACCAAGAGUCAGGGAUCCCCAGCGAGUGGUCGAAAAUCGAGGCCCGCCUCGAGGGCUCGCUGGUGAUGUCUAAGGUAGGGUCGAGACAGUCGAGAGGAAUCCCCCCGAAGGGAGGCAUCGAGCCGCUGGACUCUAUCGAAUGAGACUGGUAUCCCCGACCACGUCGAUCCUGCUUUAUGAGGACGCCUCCGGGCUACAGCUGACCCCCUCGAAAGGGGCACAGGUUCUCACUUAGACUACCCGCUAGGAACUCAAUCCGGGGUGGAAGACGCUCGCUCUAUCGAGAGUACGUCGAAACCUCCACGCAAGGCAAAGCCGAACAGAACCUUCCACCACUGGUGUCGAAAGCGUUUCUGCGAAUUAGACAACAUAACCCUCGAAGGAGUCAAAAACUCCUCCGAGGGCUCGGGGGCUACCCCCGCGGGGUCGCUCGCGCGCCCCCACGGAAAUUCGACCGCAAAACAAAGCCUCCACUCGAGCGCUAGCGCUCAAAUGGAGGCUCGGGGGCUACUGUCAAGGGUAUCAGUAAGGGGUACCCUCAGCGAUGCGCAUUAUGAGAUUGUCCGUACGCAGGUCGAGACCCUCAAUUCGACGCUCUAAUCUUACGUAUGUGCCGCCAUCGACGGCCGCAACCUCGAAGACGGAAAUAGCGUCGAGCGAAUCGAUCAGGCGUCGAGCGCCGGUUACCGUCGAAUACGGAACAGGCUCAUGCGAACCGGGGGGCGUCGAGCGCGAGGACGCCAUCCGCCGCCUGACGCGCGCACGCGGGCCGGAGCAUUAAAUGCGCCUGAUGCUUCCCCACCUAACGCACAGGUCACGGGAGGCGUGAUAGGGAACAGGCUUCCGUCCCAUCAAUCUUUUUGCAGCCUUCCCACCGAACGACCCAGGGCGUGUCAGGACGCAGGAAACAAGGAUGGAACGUCUAAUCGGGACCUCCUCGAGACACCUAAGGUCAGCGCUCCAGAUAUCAGCAUAUUACACGGCGUCCGACCCUCGACCGAACAGGGUCCCUUCCUAGGGACAAGUUGGGCGUCGACUGACCACACCACAGCUACCCCGCCGGAUCCGCCGCCAUACCGUACAAGCAUGCGACCUCAGAACCAGCGCGAGGCGGCGGGCAGGGCAGAACGCAGGAGCACGCGUAAUCAUCACCGGGCUAUCAAGAUGGGACGGCUCGAGGCCAUGCCGUACGGAAGCCUCGAGUAGGUCGGCGCUCCAUGCGGCUAUCGACCCCUACUCUAACAUCUACGCAUGUACCCUGUGUCUCUCCUUGGAGCUAUAAAAGGAGAGACUCAGGAAUAGAAGGGGCAUGACCACGACACAAGACCACACUCAUACGUAGAAGAGCUCCACACUUCAUACCACGCUUGUAUUCGCCCCUAUACAAGCACUUAGGUGCAAGAUAAUACAAACUCUCUCCCCCCGCUGGACGUAGGGCCUUCUCUUGCCCGAACCAGGAUAAAUCUUUGUGUCUUCUUGCAUCACCAUCCGGGAAAGGGAGCACGCAUACAAAUUUACUCGUUGGUGUGACCCCCCGGGGGAAAAACACCGACAAAAAUCUACAAAAACUCCAAAGCUAUAGCUGAUCAAGAAUAAGAAACAUGGCACUUGACUAGACUGUUCUAUCUUUUAACUACUCAAGACAGAAGUGGCGGCUACAAGUCCCAUGGUGAAAGGUAAAGUAAGUAAGUUUUAAGUCUUGACAGUUUACUCUAACUCAGAGAUGAGAUCUUAUUUAAAAGCAUGUGUACCGUCAAUUUUUUAAUGUAUUGCAGCAACUUCUAAUCUAUCCUUGCUCAGGGACGAGCAAGAGGUAAGCUUGGGGGAGUUUGUUGACGGUCCUUAAGCAUCAAAUUUAAUUAUCAAAUAAACAAAGAAAAGGAUCCAAAUGAAAUCAACAUCUAGACUUAGGGUUUUAUCUGACAGAAUUCCAUCUGUUUUGGUGUUUAUCUAUUUCUGCAGGGGGUUAUCAGGAAAUACGGAAGAAAGGCCCACACGUCGGGAUUACAUAGAGAUAUUAACGUGCCGCGCAAUUAUCUUACAUCUAGAAGACUCCAGAAGCCACGGGAAGGAAGCGGAGGCCGAACGGGGCCAGGGACUGGGCGCCCGCCCAGUUGCCCUGGGCGCCCGCCCUCUUGCCGAGCCCAAUUAGGACUUUGUUUCAGGGAAGAUCUCCACCGACCUAAAGGAUCAAGGAUAACCAUUCAAUCUAUGUUGGUUUGAUCCAACGGCCCAUAUUCACUUGAAUGGACUAUAAAACCAGACCCCCUAGCCCCUGGAGGAGAGAGCCUCUCAACCCUAAUUCAUUAAUCUCAAGGGAGAAGAAGCCUCUGAUCAAGAUUAGAGCCACCACAUCAAUUAGACAUCUAGAUUAGCAUAGCUACAUAGGAUUAGAAUUAGAAGGAGUCAAUCUUCGAUUUGUUUCCAGAUCUGUCAAGAGGAUUCUUGGUAAUUCUCUAAUUGUGCUUCUAAUUGUUCUUCUAAUUAUCUUUGUUCUUCAAUAUUAUGAAUAUGACUUUGUUCUACUUCAAUAUAUCGCUUAUGACUUUGCUCUACUUGCUUAUAUUCAAGAUUAUAUUGUUCUUAGUUAUCAUAGUUACGUACUUGGCUUAGUUAGAUUGGAUCUAUAUACAUGCUUAGGAUUGUAUAGCGUUUAUCCAUCGGAUCCAUGGGUAAAUGAUAGAUAUUGUGUAGGCGUGGUGCUUAUACCGUAUUUAUCUGCGAUUGUACCCAAUAAGCCAGAUCGUGGGGUAGUUCGUGAUAGUGACAGCUACAUUGAUUCUUAUAUAGUCCCCCUCUCGUGUAUUGGGCUGGCAGAGCAAUAUUAUUACAGGGGAGUGAUUGCUAUGUUUCUCAUUUACCUUGCUAAUAUCACUAUGCAUGGGCGUAGUCUUGUCUCGCAAUGAUUGCUAAGUAUGCUUGCACUAACUAUGAUAAUGCUAGACUAUAUAGUUGAGAAUAACUUAGGAAAUAUUCUUGUAGUUCGUUCUAUUUCCAUGCUAAUGACUUUCUAGAGUAUCUAAUUGAGGUGCUUAUCAUAUUUAUAUGUGGCUAAGUUAUGAUCAGAUUAAUUAUCUUUGUCACUAUUCAUUAUUUCAUAUAUCCUUUAUGUGACACUUACCCCUGUAUGAAAGAGUUAGAUACAAUGUUCUCAAUUAUACAUGCAAUUAUAGAUACUCAAUCUCAUAUUCUAUUCUGUAAUCAAUAUUGAUGAUUGUUAAUCCCUUCCCAGUGGUAAAAAUAUAAAUAACGAUAUCUGGAAUACUUCCCGGUUAAAAUGCUACAUCGGUAUUAAUCUGUGCGCUUGCAGAUCCCAUUCAUUAUUUAUUUAGAAGAGCAAUUGCAUAUUUCAAUACCGCGUCUCUCAUGUAAUGCUGGAGAUGACAACUUGGCUUAAGUGGUAUGAGGGACAGGUUUGGCAUUUUUGGCACCGUUACUAGAAUUAGAAAACUAAGUCUACUUCUGGUAAUGAUGUUAAGAAUACCCAACAGUGAGCGCAAACUAGACCAGUGCAUUAGGCUAUCUAUUGCCGACAUGGAGAGAAACGAAUCACUAUUGAUAGCAGCUUCAUAUUUCUAGUCAGACACCCUCAAUGCUUUUGUGUUCGGCCAUGGCCCUGCCUCUCCUACUCUUGCCGAUGUACUUAUGCUCACUGGUCUAGAAAUAGCAACUGCCGAUGAUAGCCACCUGUUCGACAGUAAGCCUGAACGUAAAGUGAAAACUCCCAACAUCGGCGGCUGGUUAAGGUACAUUCAGAAGUACUAGAAAAUAGGACCAGCUGGGCAAAGGGAACAUGCCAUCUUUCUGAACAUGUGGCUAGAUAAAUUUGUGUUUUGCGGCCGAUCGGUAGGACCAACUUAUGUGUACCUAUCAGCAGAAGAGAAACUAGCCGGCGGUGGUCGCUUCCCCCUUGGUCGAUACUUGUUAGGCUCUGUUUAUCAUCUCCUUCAUCAAGUAGCCGAGAAGUUUGGUGCAUAUUGAUCCUUUUCCAUGUUUAUUUGAUGGUUAAUUUUAGUACUUAAGGACCAUCAACAAACUCCCCCAAGCUUACCCUUUGCUCGUCCCUGAGCAAACAGCUAAACUCAGACGGAUUAGGAGUUGCUUUGAUGUUUUCUUUCCUGACAGACACACAUCCUUUUAUAUAAAAAUUCUUCCAGAUUAGAGUGAAGUGUCAUGGAGCUUAGUACCUGCACUUAAGUCCUAAGUAAUUGAAAGACAAAAUAAUUAAGUCAGGCACUAUUCCUCCUGUCUAUACUUCACCUUUGUUCUGGAGUUUUGUAUAAGUUUUCAAAAAUAAAACUCAGAGUUCCCAGCAAUGAUUCUCUCAAGUCUCUCUAUAUGUGGUAUUUGUGGAUCUUUACCAAAAUGUCACUUACCUAUAGCUAAUGGAAUAUUUAAGUGGAGCUCAUAGGUGUGAAAAACAGCUCAUACAUAUGUUGUCUAAUCGAGCCAUGGAUCCAAAGGAACUCAGCAUAUAAUUAAAUCAAGAUGUGCAUGUGUGGUGGAGUAAAUGAUAGUGACGGUAAAAAAAUGUAUAAGUGAUAAUAAAACUUACUUCUCAUUGCUCCUCAUAUUGCUACCUCUCCUCUUCUUUGAUCUUUUCUUUGGGAGAACAUGGGCUAUCUCUCCUUUUUUUUCAGGUGGGUAGUAGAUACCCCUAAUUCUACUAUCGGACACUUGUCCAUUUUUUCCGCUCAAGUGGGCAUCUUUGUACCCCUAAUUCUACUACGGACACUUGUCCAUUUUUAUCUCUCAUCUCACUCUUUUUCUUUCUUUUUCGAGGUUCCGGGCACUUGCCCCUUUUUAUUUACUCACAUAUUUUUGCAUAACCCAUGCCUCUUCUGCAUUGAAUCUUUUUAGAGAGAGAGAAUAACAAUACUUGGGACAGUGAGUGAUAAUAUUAUUUUUAGCAAUUUUUAAUAAGUGGUUGUGGAUGGUGUAGUAGAUGUGUGCAAGUGAAUAUCUUAAUUUAACCACAUGAAAAGCUCCUAAGGGUCUACACAGCUCGAUCAAACUCAAUGUAAAUAUAAGUAAAAGAUGUUAUAGCAAGUAUGGCUGUGGUAAGAAUUUUGUCAUACUAGGAACUCAUCAUGUGAUUUGCAAGUUUUCAAAAUAAACCUCCAGAACUUGGUGUAGUAGUAACAAGAUAAACAGUAGCUCAAACUUUAUAUCAUGCCUUUCUCUUACCUAGACUUUAGUUUUAUGCUUCCUAUAUAUAGUAAUUUCAGUUUUAGUAAUUCCUAGAAGAACUCUAAUAUAAAAGCUAGGUACAUGAAAGUAAGCAAACAGAGCAACUGUUCAUCAUUUCCAUCAAGCAUCUUUUUGGUCUUUUUAUUUUUCUAGAGACUAAAACUUGGCAGAUAAAUAAAGCACACUUAUCUACACAAUCUUUUCAUUUUGUUUUUAUGUUUAUAAAAUGCAGUAAAUUAAAGCAAGAUAAUAUUUAUUGGGUUUUCUAAGUUUUUCUUUUAAGAUAAAUAAAACACUAAAAUAGAAAAGAAUAAAUAAGAAAAGCAAAUAAAGACUUACUUGAUAAAACGGGGAGGAACUCCCCCAAGCUGGAUGUUGCUGUCGGUCUUACUCAAUAUUCCAAAAUCGCAUCAUGGUGGUGAUGUUGUCGUUCAUUGUCGUGGUGUCUUGUCUUAGUUCUUGUAUUGCAGUGGCGUGGUCCUAAUUCCAUUUUUGUUGCUGUUCAAGGAGUCGUCCUUGUUCUGCUUGCGUAUUCUAGAUGCCGAGGAGAAUGUUGUCGGUAAGGGUGAAGAAAGCACCGGCCUCUUGGUAGUAGUCGUUCAUGAAAGCGCAGGAGGCGUCGGAGUAUCGUCCUGCAUCGAAUUGGGGUGGAGGUCUGGAUCCUGAAGCUCCAUAAGGAUCAGUGGAGUACCUGCCCGUUUGGAAAGGCGGGUUUGUCCACUAGUGAUCUUGGCUCUCCGGCCAUGUCUCCUGUGCUGGCUCUUGUGGUUGCGCAUGUCGAACCCAUGGGUCUCGAAGGACUCGGGGGUUGUAGUCACGAUAAUGCAGGUGCGCUGCUUCUUCCGGCCCGGGAUCAGCUCCAUACCAGGUGCAUUCUUGAUGGGUGGUCAUCCUUUCAGAUGCCACUCGUUGUGGAGCUCUUUGGUUUACCGGUGUUACUGCAAUCUCAAUCAAAAAAUUUUGAACAACGUAGAGGCCAAGGUUCGGGUUAGGUAACCGAAUCUUGCCUUUAUUAUCAUAUAGCAUAUACAUUAUGUUCCCCUCUUUCUUUAACAUCCGAGCUUGUCUAAAUGUGUCAUAGCCAUGAUAAAUUCUUAACUCAUCUAUGAAUUCCAAUGACGAGUUUUCUAGUAAAUGAAGAUUAGAGGCUAGACGAGUGAUAAGUGAAGUACAUCCUACUGGUCCCUGAAGACUAGGUAUACUAAGCCAAUGAGAAACCAAAAGUGUAACAGGUGAAGUGGGUACUUUAUUAAUAGCAGCAUAUAGAAGUUGUAAAUCUCCUACUCUUACUUUCCUAAUAUCAUCACGAUAGAAAAGAUUGUACCCAAGCCAUUUGUGGAACAUCCUAAGAGUAGGGUGUUCCAUGUCACUGGUUCGGGCUUGAUUAUAAAAAUUAUCUCUAGAUAUCUCUCUCCAGAACUGGUGUCUCUCAAAAUUGGGUAGGUUGGAGUCAAUGUUUAUGAUGAAUCUUGAAGAGAAACCAAGAUGGUCGCUCAGUUCUCUCCAAGACAACAUAAUCUCCUGUUUGAACAUCCAAAAACAAUUCCCCCCUCAUAAUAUUGUAAAGUGCAAAGAAAUUCAAGGGUGAGAAGACGAGAACCCAGCUCAGUUAUGUUCCAAAAAUUUGUCCAACCUAACAUCUGGAAAAUUAAGUCGAAUUCAGUAUCCAUACCUGUUUCUUGUAGCAAGAUUGGAUCAAGAGUAGGGGUGUGAAUGAAAUCUUUGUUGUUUAGUUGCUGGUAGACUUCCUUUUCCCUUCGAGUCUUCAGUCCAAGGUCUCCUAUCUUGAGGAGGACCUUAACUUGCUGAUCAGAUGAAGAUGAUGGAGCUUGUGUUGGCGUCGGGUCGACGCUCAUCUCUGAUGGGUGCGAGGAGUGUCGGGAUGAACUCCUUGUACCUAUGUUCUUGAGAGCCUUCCCUGCGUUCUUCACCUUCUUGAAGAUUCUGUAAACAAAAGUUGGCAAAAACACAACUAGUGGAAAAUGUGAGAGAAAAUGUUAGUGGUUAGCUGUCCGGAAUGUCAGUAGUCCAGGGGUUAGUCGUUCAAGACAAGUUUUUAUUUUGGCAGAACCUCCCCCUAAACAACUUUUACUUCCGCUUUGGACAGCGGGAUCACUACUUACUAGGUGAAACUCACUCUCUCACUCAAAAACUACCAACUUCUUUCCCACUCUUCUCUUCCUGUCUACUCUAUUCUCACUUCACUACAAGAGCUCCUUCUCUAGAAACUGAAACUUGCGUGGUUUUCUAGAAUGCUUGUGUGAAGAAGAUGGAGGCAGGAGGUGGCAAUUUAUAGGAAGAAGGAAGGGCAGGGCGGGCGCCCUCUAUAGGUGGGCGGGCGCCCACUUGUGGUGCCCAUCCUGGCUGCCCUUUCUCCACUCUCUCCUUUGCUUAAUCUUUAAGCCAAAAAAUAAUUCAAUGGUGGUGGUUGGUCGGUGGAAAAGUGCUGGUGAGUGGAGAUAUGUUGGUGGAUCAAAUAAUGUGAUGGGAUGUGUGUGAGGUGUGGUGUAUGACAUGUGGGACCCAAAGGAGUGUGGGUCAUGCUUCUAGAAGGUUGCUAUAAUUAAAUAUAAUGCAGAAAAAUCUAUGAGAAUUUAAAACUUAUUGAAAUGAUAAUGAAAAAUAUUUUUGUGCCUCCACAAUAAUUAAUAAAUUAUGGGUUGUUACACACCAUAAAUAUUAUUUAUAUGGGGCUUUUUAUUAUUAUAAUAAUGCUAUGAAUAAAUAUGACUAAUGCAAGAAUUAAUUAUGCAAGAAUUAAUGAUGCGGAUAAGUACCGAUUUACCUCCCGGUGAGGGUUUGGGAUUUUUAGGUCCCCCAAGCUGGACCUCCAAAUCUUUUAAUCUUCUGAAUUACCUUCCUCCAGAGAUGGUGUCUCCAGUGGUUCUUCAUGAACUUCCUUCACUGUAGGGUCUCUCUCUGGUCUGGGUUUGAAUGUGAAGUGUUCUUCUUUUCCGUUGAUGUUGAACUUGAUUUCUCCUUUCCCGACAUCAAUGUGGGCAUUGGCGGUGCUCAGAAAUGGCCUUCCAAGGAUAAUGGACACUUUUGAGUCAGGACUCAUGUCCAGUACCACGAAGUCUACUGGCACAAGGAAAUCUCUGAUCUUGACUGAAUGUUUUCGGCGAUGCCCAACGGGUGUCGAACUGAUUGAUCUGCUAGUUGCAGGCACAUUGAUGUUGGUUCUAGAGUCGUAUGCUCAAGCUUAUUGUAGACUGAUGCUGGCAUCACACUGACACUUGCUCCGAGAUCACAAAGUGCAUUGUUGAAGUGUUGGUUUCCGAUCGAGCAAUCAAUAGUGGGACAUCCGGGAUCCUUCUUCUUCCUUGGUGGUAUAUUGAGGAUGGCCGCACUACAUUCUUCUGUCAGCUUGAUAACCUCAGUGGUGGGCAGUGGUCUCUUCUUGUAAAACUUUGAAAGAAAGGCAUCUGACAAGUUGAGGAUGGCCGCACUACAUUCUUCUGUCCAGUUGUUGAUGUUAUCUUGAUGAGUGUGGAACCACUUCCUCACUUUCCGUUCUAGUGAGAAUGGGAAAAGGCGAAGCAGUAUGACGUCUUUGUCAACUCCGUUGAUGUGGAUUGUGCUUCCAAUUUCUAAGAAAUUCUGCAAGAGUGCACUAGCAUCUUCAUGUGCCUUUCCACUGAAUUGUGUAGCUUGCACCAAAUUGAUGAGGCUUGACUUGAGCUCAAACUUAGGUACUCCUACUGCAAAUCUUGGACCAGUUGGAAUGUUCUCAAGACUUGGAGCAGAGAAUUCUUGUAGGGUCUUCUGUGCCAUAGCUUCAGCAAUUGGUAGCUAUCUUCUUAUUUCUCUCUUGAUUGCUUUGGUUCUGAUGAUGAAGAGUUGAAUGUACCCAAAGUCAAUCCUGAUAUACCGUGUAUAAAAAUAUAAACAUAGAAAAACAAUAGGGUGAACCUGCCAAAGCAGAGGUCCCUUGUUAUGAUUUCUCACUUAGUAGCUAGUUUAUGCAAUUGUUUCUCUAUAGUCUAGUCUAAUAUUUUAUGUGAAUAACCUUGACUGAUUUCCUGACUUUCCUUACCGUUCCUAUGUAUUACCCUUUUGUUCCCCGGCAAUGGCGCCAGAAAUGCUUGUUGACACUAGCUAACACCACUUAGAUACAAGGUUGUCAUCCCCAGCAUGGUGCUAGAGUGUACAAAGGUAUUUAUAAAUAUGGAGGCUCUCUAGAAAAUAAUCUAUUCUAUCCGCAAGCGCACAGAUAAAAUACCUCAUUGUAGCAUUUCACCAGGAUAAGUAUUCCAGGUAUCGUUAUUUAUAAUUUUGCUUAAGAGAACAAAAGGGAUGAAAUUAAAAUAAGGACAAAAUCUAUCAAUGCAUAGAUUAGAGUUAAACUUGCAAGAACAUGAUUACUAAUGAGAAACUCGUCACACAGUCACUUUGGUAGGGGGUAAACCAUAAAGAUAAUGAUAAUGAAUUAUAAGUUCAUGGGUAAAUAACACAACGAUUAGAAAAUAGACUACUCCUCAUAUAUGUAGGUGACGUCGGAUUAGCUAGAGAAUGGAUUCUAAGUUAUCUACUAUCUACUAAGUCAAAAUCUACUCUAUUUAUCUACAAGAUCAUGUAUAGCAUAAAAAACUCUUCAUUCAUGUAUAAGGAACAUUGCUAAAGUAAAUCAGAACAUCGUAAGACUUACUCCGCAAUACAAAUUCUGCCUGUCCUAUCGACGGAGGGUGGACUAUAUAAGAAUCAACGAAGCUGUCACUAUCACGAACUACCACACAACCCGGCCAAUAGGAUACAUUUGCAGGUAAAUAACAUCUAAGCACCACUCCCACAUGUGAUCUACCACUUAACUCCCUCGAGUCAAGAGCUAAGCGCUCUGCAAACUUAUACAUAAACUCAUUAUCAAUCAUAACUAUAUCAAAUAUAGAACAAGAGCAAACUAAGAGCAUAAUAAAUAGAGACAUAAUGUAAUUAGAACAAAGUAUUAGAGAAAGAUAUGAAUAAUACCAAUCUUUAUUACCGAAGAUCUGAAUCCAGAGCGUAGUGCUCUACUUCUCUAAUUGCUAUCUAAUCAAACUUCUAAACUUGAAGGAUUAGGGAGUAGCUAAUUCUAAUUCUCUAUGGGAGAGAAGCUCUAAACCCUAACUUUGAUGGCUACCUGUGAUAAUGAUUUCUCCUCUUCUCUUCUCUCCCCCAGGGGUGGAGAGGCCUCGGUUAUAUAGUCCUUUCAAGUGAAUUUGGGCCGUCGGAUCAAACCGACAUUGAUCGCACGGUUUUCCUUGAUCCUUUAGGUCGGUGGAGCACGAUCCAAGAGUUUGGUUCGAAUUGGCCCCGAGACCUGGGCGGGCGCCCUGCCCCCGAGCCCGUCCGGUCUCCAAUUCGUUCCCAUGGCUUCUGGACUCUUCUAGAUUGGGGAAAAUUACGUGGCACGUAAUUAUCUCGUUGUAAACAUGAUAUGUGGGCCUUCUCACCAUAUUUUCUGAUAUCCCCCUAUAGAAAUAGAUAAACACCAAAGCUUGUGGAAUUCUAUCAGAUAAAACCUUAAUUCUAGAUGUUUGGUGCAUAUUGAUCCUUUUCCAUGUUUAUUUGAUGGUUAAUUUUAGUACUUAAGGACCGUCAACACUUGUCAUUCUACAUCCUCAAACUCACCUUCCUAGCGGUUGCACUGUUCGAGAAACUCAAGGACUCCGGCAAGGAUCUCCUCCAACAAUCUUCCGAGUCUUCGAUCCCUUCCUCCUCGUAGGAAGAAAUGGCCAUCAACUUCGUCGUCCCUGAGGUCAACUCAGCAUCCCCUUUCUUAUUUUCACCAUAUUUUUGAUCUUUCACACAGUUAUUUAUUUGGUAUUUUCUUUCUUUCUCUUCCCUAUCUUUUCAACCUUCAAACCUUUAGGAAUUGGCCGAGAAAAUUGUUAUUCCCACCGAUCAACCCCACUUUCAAUGCCAUGGUCCAUUGGGAAACCCAGAUCCUACCGAUUUGAUAAAUGUAGAAUCAAAUAUUAUCCCCUUUAGAGCUGAGAACUUCUCAUUAGAUCUGUGGAAAGACACCUUUCGAUCCUGGCCUAGUUCUACCAAGGGGUGGAAAGACUGGUUCCCGAGAAUCGGCAACUCAAAUGAAGUCCAAUGGGGUGAGUGCAAACUAGACAGUGCAUUAGGCUAUCUAUUGCCGAUAUGGAGAGAAACGAAUCACUAUUGAUAGCAGCUUCGUAUUUCUGGUCAGACACCCUCAAUGCUUUUGUGUUUGGCUAUGGCCCUGCCUCUCCUACUCUUGCCGAUGUACUUAUGCUCACUGGUAUAGAAAUAGCAACUGCGAUGAUAGCCACCUGUCCGACAGUAAGCCUGAACGUAAAGUGAAAACUCCCAACAUCGGCGGCUAGUCAGGGUACAUUCAAAAGUACUAGAAAAUAGGACCAGUAGGGCAAAGGGAACAUGUCAUCUUUCUGAACAUGUGGCUAGAUAAAUUUGUGUUUUGCGGCCGAUCGGUAGGACCAACUUAUGUGUUCCUAUCAGUAGCAGAGAAACUAGCCGGCGGUGGUCGCUUCCCCCUUGGCCGAUACUUAUUAGGCUCUGUUUGUCAUCUCCUUCAUCAAGUAGCCGAGAAGCUUUUGUUAGGUCAACCAAUCGGCAACUUAGGAGGCCCUUGGUAGUUCAUCAAUAUGUGGCUCAGUGUUCACAUGCACAAAUGCCUUGGAUUCGACCUCUUUGCACAACGCUUUCCCAGAGAUAUCACUUAAGAUCAUGAACUGGUUGAUGAAGAAUCGGCAACUCGCACACCCCUGAACUAUGGUGAGCCUGCUAUAGUCCUACCUGGUACUGGUGGUAAUGAAGACCAGGUCAGCCAAUUCUUCCAAACUCUUUAUGAGGGUCUUGCCAAAGAUCAGCGGGCAUUGAUGCCUGAUGAAGAUCCAGAAACUAGAUUCCUGCUCACUUUCCUUCCUUUUGAUGACGCUCUCAACAAGGACCAUGAACUGAUGAUGGCAAUCAUCACUCCAAGAGCCAUACCAGUGAAUAUCUUUAGCAGUGGGAAGAAUUCCAACCCCACCUAUGAAUUCUAUAACCCAUCGGCACUGGCUCGUCACCUGGCUUUUGGGCAGCUGUCGAUUGGACUCUGCUAUGCCAAUGUGGUGAAGCCAAGGGAGACUAUAACCAGCGGACUUGAGUGGAUAAGAAUAGCUCAGCUUCAGCCAAAUGCCGAUACGUUAGACAUUGAUUUAUCGGCAUAGAUCCUAGCCCUUUUCAUCACUCAGAUGUACAAGUAGUGGUGGGAAGAAUGGAAGGAACACCAGUUCUGCACAUCGGCUCUGACAUACCACGGCAUGAUCGACCGCAACUAUAAGAUCUCCGAUAACAUUGUCAGUCUUCAACCGAUACCUCAGUUCUUUUGUUACUUUUAUUCUCAUCGGUAACUCGCCCCCUCCUUUUUAAACAGGUCGACAACCCGCCACCGACAGUCAGCAGAAGUGGAAGGCCGAUUGAACUCCUCCCGUCAGGCCCAAUUUCUCUAAUCGGCAACAACGCACCAAGUUUGGCAGCUCUAAUGCAUCGGAAUGUGCGUUUUAAGAAUAUAACCACCAAGCGGUCCAAGACGUCCCCAACGGUUGCCGCUGCUACCUUGGCAUAGGCUUUCAAGGUAGACUUUUGAUUUCAUUUGCUUAUACUGAUUCUGUUCCAUACUCAUAUAAUCUUUUCAGGACACAUCGGCCGCUACGGGAACUUCAUCGGUAACUUUAUUUUUUUUAACAAAAUUUCAUUAACAUUCUUUCAUAUCCCUUGUAAUGACAUCUUAGUUGUUAUAACAGCAAACUAGCAAAUUGGCAAAGACUAGAAGCGCCCAAACAAGUGCUGAUGCCCCCCAACCCGGCCGGGUCAAGAGAAAAGAACCUAAGAGCACCAAUUCACAACCAAAGCGUCAAAGGAUGGCACCAUCUUCUCAUCCUCGUCAAGUAUCACCGAUUCAUGUGGAAUCAUCCCCCUCUUCACUAGAAAUCCAGACACAGCAAGUACCGUCCGUUCCUCAACCAGCACCUCAGCCACAAGAAGCACGAGCCGUUGUGCUUGAGCAGACUGGCGAUCCAGCGGAUCUGAUCAUAUCAUCAGUUGUUCCUCCAAAACAAACAAGCACUGCGCCCCCUCAAGGUAAAGUACUGACCACAAAAUUAUUACCGAUGGAUUUUUUUGUAUUAAAAUUACCCUUGUUAUUCUUUCAAUUGAUAUCGUUCCAUCGGUAACUCCAGCCGAUCAACCUAUAGUACCGGCCGCAUCUCCUCGUCAAAGGCGCGAGAUCGCUCUGAAGCAAGUAAGUCUCUGAUCUCUACUCCCCCCAUUUUUUAACAUUUAAUUACCAAAUAACUUAUCUCUGCUCCUUUUUCAGGAGCAAGACUCUCAAGACAGUCUAUUCUCCUUCGCUAUCAAUAUUUCCGAUGAUGAGGGUGAAGAAGCGAGCUCCUCCCAAGCAGUAGGAGUUUCAUCGGCAGAAAUCAAAGCCAUGCUGGAAGACCUGUUGGUCCUGCUGCAUCGAGAUACUGCCUAGUUGGUCGAUGACUCCGAUCCAGCCAAAGCUCUGUUUAAAACCAUUCGAGGCCAAAUCCCAGCCGACGCAGAAGAAAUCUUGUUUCAAGCCGCACACUUGGAAAGCCGUCAGCUCCAGUACCAGAAGGCUACCCAACGUCUCGCCGACAGAACUGCUCACGCUCAACUCAAAGAGGAAGUAAUGCAAGUGUAGCGUCUUGCCGAUGAGAAACAUAAGAGCAUCGGCAUUCUGCAGUUCUCAGGGGAAACACUGAAGCAGAAGAUUUCGGAACUAUCGGCAAGAAGGGAAGCCCUGUUGGCUGAGCUCAAGCAAGUGGAAGAGGCCUUGUCUCAAGCUCAGCAAGAAGAAAGCCAACUGCCAGAAAUGAUCAAGACUCUUCAGCAAGAAUGAAACACUCAGGCUCGGAAGGCACUGCAAAUGAAAAAGAAGCUGAAGCCAAUAGAGGGCUCUGCCGAUGAGGACAUCCGAGAGAUAGAAGAAGCCGACCAAAUCCGCCUACGCGCCAUAUCGGCCAUCCAAGCCUUGCUGAAUGCAUGAGCUCUUCAUCCUCAACUUGUCUCGUUCUGCCUUUAGAAACUCUUGAUUAUUCUGGUCUAGCCGAUAGGACUGUUAUCGGCACCUUUUAAAACAUCGUGCGUGAUCUCAAAUACAUUUCGUCGAGCCGAUAGGAGUGUUAUCGGCACUUAAACUUUUAUGAAUCAACCCAAAUGCUUGGGUAAUACUUCUUUAGAUAUUUUCCAUUCAAUGCUCUGGGAAAUUCAACUCCUUCGAGAGUUUUCAAAAUAUAAGCAUUACCAGGAGCAGACCGAUUUAUCCGAUAAGGACCUUCCCAAUUAGGAGACCAUUUUCCAAACUUUGAACUUUUAGUCCCAAUCGGUAAAAUUAAUUUCCACACCAAAUCUCCAUCGGCAAACUCCUUAGCUUUUACCCUUUUAUCAUACCAUCUAGCAACUCUCUUUUUAUUUUCUUCUAUACUUAUCAAAGCUCUCAACCGAUGCUCUGUCAAAUCAUUUAACUCAUCUUUCAUCAAGGUAUCAUAGUCAUCGGCAGCCAAUUGAUCUUGAAAAGAGACCCACAUAGAUCCAGUCUUAAUCUCCCAUGGUAGCCCCGCAUCGUGUCCGUACACCAACUGAUAAGGUGAAGCUUUGGUCGAUCCAUGACAUGCCAUCCGAUAUGACCACAAAGCUUCAUUCAACAAUGUAUGCCACCUUCUAGGAUUUUCUUCAACUUUUCGCUUGAUGAGCUUAAUAAUCCCUUUGUUAGAUGCUUUGGCUUGUCCAUUGGCUUGAGCAUAAUAAGGAGAAAAUUUCAACACUUUAAUCCCCAUACCGAUUGCAAAUUCAUCAAACUCUCCCGAUGUAAACAUAGUACCCUGAUCGGUAGUGAUUGUUUGAGGAAUACCAAAUCGGUAAAUCAAUCAUGUGAGUCGAUGUUACUUUCUUCAAAGGAAUAGCUUCAACCCACUUAGUAAAAUAGUCAAUGGCAACUAGGAUGAACUUAUGCCCCUUACUUGAUGGUGGAUAAAUCUGGCUGAUCAGAUCAAUAGGCCAUCCCCGGAACGGCCAAGGCUUAAUAAUAGGAUUCAUGGCCGAUGCGAGUGCCCUUUGAAUAUUGCCAAAUCUUUGACAUCCUUUGAAAUAUUUAAAGCAAUCCUCAAGUAUGGUCGGCCAAUAAUACCCGUUUCUCUUGAUCAUCCAUUUCAUUUUAAAAGUCGACUGAUGCGCUCCACAUACUCCUUCUAGAUCUCACCCAUCAAGCUUUUAGCCUCAUCAUCACCCAAGCACUUGAGUAAAUCUCCAUCUAUCGUUCGAUAAUAUAACUCUUCUCAAAGGAGUACAUACUUGGUAGCUUGAAACCUAACACGCCUCUCAACCUUUUUAGAUGGAUCUUUUAAGUAAUCAAUGAUUUCAUUUCGCCAAUCAUCGGCACUGAUUGCCGAUAACACAUUUAAGAUAGGUUGAUACCCCGAGGCAUGCUGAGCCAACCGAUUAGCCUCUUCAUUAUUUAAUCGAGGAACAUGCUCCAAUCAGAAAUCCUUGAAUUCCCUCAAUAGUUGUAUGCUCUUUUCAUAAUAAGUUAUCAAAACUUCACUUCGGCACUCAUAAAUUCCAGCCAAUUGAUUUAUAACAAGCAUAGAACCGCCGAAGAUUUCAACAGUAUCAGCAUGAACCUCUUUUCACAAUUCUAACCCUUUGAUCAAAGCUUGAUAUUCAGCUUGAUUAUUCGUUGACAUGGCAACAAUCGGCAAAAGAAAACUCAUACUUGUUUCCUCGAGGAGAAAUUAGUACUAUACCGAUUCCUACCCCCGGUCACACGUGGACCCAUCAAAGAAGAGCGUCCAAGGAACGAUUUCCAAAGUCUCUACUACACCGCAAUGCUGAGUCACAAAAUCGGCCAUAAUCUGCCCUUUAACUACCUUAGCCGAUUCAUAGUGCAGAUCAAAUUCCGACAACGCCAAAAUCCAUUUGCCGAUUCUACCACUCAUAAUCGGCAUAGAUAGCAUAUACCGGACUACAUCAUCUUUGCAUAUAACAGUGCAUUCGGCAGAUAGCAGAUAGUGUCUCAACUUGACACAUGAAAAGAAUAAGCAUAAACAUAGUUUUUCAAUUGCUAAAUACCUUGUCUCAGCAUCAACCAGUCUUCUACUCAAAUAAUAAAUCACACGUUCCUUCCCUUCAAAUUCUUGAAGUAGAGCUGAACCGAUGACCAUUUCAUCGAAAGAUAAAUACAAUUUGAAAGGUUUUCCUUGCUGAGGUGGAAUCAGAACUGGAGGGUUUGUCAAAUAAUUCUUGAUUUCGUCCAUUGCUGACUGUUGCUCUCUUCCCCAUACAAACUCUUGAUCGGCUUUCAACUUAAGUAAAGGACAAAAAGCACGAAUCUUACCUGGCAAGUUAGAUAUAAUUCGCCUAAGAAAAUUUAUCUUGCCGAUCAGAGAUUGGAGUUCAGUCUUAUUGGUGGGAGCAACUAUUUUGUUGAUAGCAUCAAUAGAUCUCCUACUAAUUUCAAUUCCCCUCUGAUGUACCAUGAUACUAAUAAUUGUCCUGCCGAUACACCAAAUGCACACUUAUUAGGAUUCAUUUUUACACCAUAUUUCCUUGUGCAUUCCAACACCUUUCGUAGAUCCGCAAGAUGCUUUGUAAAAUCUAUAGACUUAACCACCACAUCAUCAAUAUAAAUUUCCACCAACUUGCCAAUGAACUCAUGAAAGACAAAAUUCAUAGCCCUCUGAUAAGUAGCACCAGCAUUUUUCAAGCCAAAAGUCAUGACUAUCCAUUCAAACAAUCCAACAUGACCAGGACAUCUAAAUGCAGUCUUUGGAAUAUCUUCUUCAGCCAUGAAUAUUUGAUUGUAUCCUGCAUUGCCAUCCAUAAAGCUAAUGAUCCGAUGUCCAGCUGCAGCAUCAACUAGCAAAUCGGCAACUAGCAUUGGAUAACCAUCCAUCGGUGUAGCCUUGUUAAGAUUCCUAAAAUCAAUGCAGACACAAAGCUUCACAUUCUUCUUGUAACUGAAACGACAUUAGAAAUCCACUCGGCAUACCGACAUUGCCGAAUAAAUAUAGCUUCAAUGAGUUUAGUUAUCUCGGCCUUAAUAUCAGGAAGAAUAUUAGGGUUGCAUCGGCGAGCUGGCUGCCGAUGCGGCCAAAAUCCAGAUUUGAUAGGUAACCGAUGUUCAACAAUCGAUCGGUCUAAACCAGGCAUCUCAGUAUAAUCCCAAGCAAAGCAAUCUUUAUAUUCUUUUAACAAAUCGGUUAACUGCUGCUUACACUCAGAAUCUAACUUAGCACUAAUAGAAGUAGGCCUUGGCCUAUCACCAUUACCUAUAUCUACCUCUACUAAAUCAUCGGCCGAUGUAAAGCCCUAGCCUAAUUUUCUAUCAUCGGCGAACCUAUCCAUUAAAACUCCUCAUCACAACCGACUGCUUGGAUCGGUGGAAUUUCAUAAUCGGUGACCUUGAGAAAAUCCAUUUCCCAAACCUCCCCUGAAAUGCAUCUAGUCUUUUCAUAAGUAUCUGCUUCUGCCGAUGCAAUGACAUACGCAGAAUCUCCUGGGACAAUUUCAAUCUUGUCACCUACCCACUGAACCAAGCACUGGUGCAUUGUAGAUGGGAUGCAACAAUUGGCAUGAAUCCAAUCUCUUCCCAAUAGCAAAUUAUAAGCACCCUUUCCACUGAUGGCAAAGAAAGUUGUCGGCAAGGUUUUGCUACCGAUGGUCAACUCAACACAUACGGCUCCCUUGACUGGAGACACAUUCCCUUCAAAAUCCUUUAGCAUCAUAUCGGUCUUGGUCAAAUCUUGAUCUCCCAUCCCAAGCUUCCGAUAAACUGCAUACAGCAUAAUAUUAAUAGCAGCCCCACCAUCAACAAGUAUCUUGGUCAUCGGCUGUCAAUCAACCCUGCCUUUGACGAACAAAGCUUCAAGAUGCUGUCUCUCAUUAUCGGCGGGCUUUUCAAAAAUAGCCAUCAUCGGAUCCAGAGCCAACUGAGCUAUCUGAUCGGGAAAAUCUGCCUCCUCAUCAUCACUAAAAGGUGCAAGGAAUUCCAUCGGCAACAUAAACACCAUAUUAUCGUCUGCCGAUGGACCUUUUCCUUUAGGACCUGACUGCUGCCGAUCUCGAGUCUUAGUAGAAUUUUCUUCUCUACUCAGUUCUUCUCGUCGCUCCCGUUGCAGCUGUUGGGUAUUUUAAAUGCAAACAGAAAAAUCCGCAAGCGCAAGGAUAUCGAUGUAGCUUUCACCCGGGAGUAUUCCAGAGUAUCGAUUUUCCAUAGGGAACAUGAGUGUACUAAUUAAGAUUCAAGAUCGCCAAAGGAUAACUAUAUAAUUAUUUUUGGUGGGAAUAGAGGAAGUUCCCUGAGAGUUCUCUAGUUGAUCUAAGAAUCAAGAAUUACUUCAAAGAUUAUUUAUUUCGGGACAUGAGAACACUAACCACAGAAAGAGAUGAGAAGGGGCUACGAAGCUCUGACUACGGUCCUACAAACACCGAUCCGAACAAGGUGGAAUACGUCGACCGUUAGGGCUGUCACUACCCUAGGGUUACCACAACAAUCCGCAGGGUUGGGUGCAAGUCCAGGUAAUUGCAAGACUAAACACCACGUCUAAUCUAUUAAAUACUACUCUAGCAUUGCAAAGACUAGAGCACUUGAUGCAAACAGGAUUCCAAUAAAUAACUUGAAUGUAAAUAAAAGUAAUUAAAGAACUCAGGAAUUAUAAAUUGAAGAACUUGGAGAACGAUGAAGAACGAACCAGUUGCUGCAAAAGUACAAUGUUGAGGAAGAUCCGACAGAUCCGGCUCCUCCUCCGCUCUCCUCUUCUCUCUCCCUAUUUUCUAGAUUACAACUAGAACUAACUAGAACUAGAACUAGAUGAACUAGAACUAGAACUAGAUGAACUAGAGGGAUCCUAUCUACUUGGAUGAAUAAUUGAAACCCUAGCUUUGAUUCUGUAGAAGAGAUAUGCCUCCAGGGGCUGGUGGGGGCUUGCUUAUAUAGCCCCUCCAAAUGAAUAUGAGCCGUCGGAUCAAACCGACCUUAAUCGCACGGUUUUCCUUAAUCCUUUAGGUCGGUGGAGCAUAAUCCGCGAGGCGAAGCCUGAUUGGCUCCUGUAGCUGGGCGGGCGCCCUAGGGGAGAGGGCGGGCGCCCUGCCCCCGGGCCCGCUUGGCCUCCCGUUCGUUCCCGUGGCUUCUGGAGUCUUCUAGAUGAUAGAAAAUUGGCGCACACAUUAAUAUCUCUAUGUAAACCCGACGUGUGGGCUUUUCCUCCAUUUUUCCUGAUAACCCCCUACAGAAAUAGACAAACAGCAAAACUCGUGGAAUUCUGUCAGAUAAAACCCUAAGUCUGGGUGUUGGUUGCAUAUAAGUCCUUUUUCAUGAUUAGUUGACGGUUAAAUGUGAGCAUUAAGGACCGUCAACAAGCUCCCCCAAGCUUAACCUUUGCUCGUUCCUGAGCAAAGCUAAAAUCAGUAAGAAAACAGAGGUUACUUUUAUGCGUCUUGCUACAGGGUUUUUUAAGUUAUCACUAAGGUCUUAAGUGAUUGAAAAACAGAACGAUCAAGUCAAGCACUAUGUCUCAGGUUCUUCUGUCUUACCUUUGUUCUGGAGUUUUUUAUAAGUUUCCUAAAAUAAAACUGAAGCAUUUGCCUUCUUCUCGAAAGAUAUAUAAGUAGAGCUUUAAAAGUUUUUAGCAUACUUACUUUGCAUUUUGCUAUGUGAAUGCUCGGAGCAAGGGAGAGGAAUGUCAUACUCCUAGAUCAAGACCUUUGACCUUUUUGAAAAGUUUUUCACCUCAUACUGGCAUAUUGCUUAUUAAAGGGACCAUGGGCUAUAAUUUUUUUUCUUUCUUUUUUUUCAGUCUCUCUCUCUUUUUUUUCAAGUGGGCACCAAGUACCCCCAAUUCUACUAUCGGACACGUGUCUGUUGACAUUCGUUAAGUGCAAUAAGAAUAAGAAAAAUUCCGCGAGCGCACAGAACAUCAUCGUAGCAUUUUACCGGGAGUAUUCCAGGUAUCGUUAUUUAUAUUUUACCACUGGGAAGCUAAGGUCAAAGAAUCUGAUAACUUACUAUCAUGCCUCUACUAAUUUAAUAAACCAACUAGACUAAAGUAGGGGUAAAUGAUAUAUGAUAGGUAAUAAUAUAAAGAUGAGAAUUCUAUGAUAAAUGCGUAGAUACCCAUAGCGGGAGGACAACGGGAGAGACCUAGGUUCCUGUAUACUUCUCUAUAACUUCAGUUAUAUGAUAACAAAGAAUGAAUAGAUAUAGCAAUCACAUACUAGCACUUUGGGACAUCAGAACACCAACCACAGAAAGAGAACUGGAAGGGGGCUGGGAAGCUCUGACUACGGUCCUACAAACACCGAUCCGAACGAGGUGGAAUACGUCGACCGUUAGGGCUGUCACUACCCUAGGUCUACCACAACAAUCCGCAGGACUGGAUGCAACCUCAGGUAACCUCUAGUAUAGACACCAUGUCUACACUAACGAUUACUACUCUAAUUACCAUGAAUAACUAGAGCACUCGAUGCGAACGAAGAUCCUAUGCCAAAAUAUAACAACUACACUACUCGAUAAUAAUAAAGGCGUAAAAGUAAAUAGAGAAAAUAAAUAUAUUAAAGCAUAAGUCUUACAAUAAAGACAUACCAAAACUCUGAAGACUUCUCCAGAACCGAAGCACAGCUCUGCUCUCCCUAACUCCCAACUAGGACUAAUCUACUACAUUAGAAUGUCUAGCCCUAAUUCUCUAUAGAGGAAAGGUUAUCCUUCGAGGGCACCUCUCAACUCUAUAAUGAUGUGUUCUCCUCCAAGGGCCAAGGGCCUUGCUUAUAUAGUCCUCCUCCUUUGUGCGUUUUCGGUUCAGCAGGCGAUGUGUUACUAAACUUUCCACCAUAUCUCAUUAAAAUGCAUAUAGACCUUAAUAGACCAAAAUGUGAUUUGGGCCCAAUUAAUCCCGCACCUCUUUUAUGUGGAGUCCUUCUUUUAUUAAUAUCUCUUGAUUCCGAACUCCAAAUAUAGCAAAUAAUAUAUGCAUUUCGAUCAGCUCGACGAGAUCUUUGUAAUGGUGUACUCCAUUCUGUGAUUGGAGCUUGUACCAGGGCGGGCGCCCUAGGAUCAAUGGCGGGCGCCCUGGUCCCAGGCCCAUCUCGGCUCUGCGGGCGCCCUAGGAUUAUGGAAAAUUACCACACACAUUAAUUCUCUAUGUAAACCUAACAUGUGGGCCUUUCAUUCGUAUUUCCUGAUAACCCCCUGUAGAAAUAGACAAACACCAAAACUCGUGGAAAUCUAUUAGAUGAAACCCUAAGUCUUGGUGUCGGUUGCAUUUGGAUCCUUUUUCAUGAUUAGUUGAGAGUUAAAUGUGAGCAUUAAGGACCGUCAACAGUGUCCAUUUUUUUCACUCAGGUGGGUAUCUUUGUACCCCUAAUUCUACUUCGGACACUUGUCCAUUUUUACCUCUCGUCUAACUUUUUUUUCGAAUCACAUUUUUGCAUAGUCCCAUGCCUCUAACGCAAUAAUUCUUCAGAAGAGUGAAUCUUUUAUAUGUUUUAAACAAAAAGAUCUUGAUCUUUGGAGCAUGUGUUGACACUUGCUAACACCACUUGAAUACUAGGUGGUCAUCUCCAGCAUGGCACUAGAGUGUACUAUGGUAUUUAUACGCACACAGAUAAAUCCGCAAGCGCACGGAUACCGUUGUAGCUUUUACCCGGUUAAAGGUUUUAUCGUAUCCACAGGGAAACAGGAGAAUUGGUCUAUGCUCUAACUUAACCUAGAUAGAUAGGUAGGAAAGAUGGUAGAGUUGAAUAAGAACAGUAUUAAAGGUAAGAUAACAAUAGGUGAUAAUAUGGGAAUAUAGAGUAGAGCAAUCUAGUAUAUGGGCGAUGGUAGGAGAAUAGAGAGGAUAACUAUGGUUUCUCUACUUCAAAGGGGUAUGUCUAUGUCUGGGACGAACCACGUGAUAAGAAUACACCACAAAGGAUGCUUAUCCAUAGGCCGAUAAACCCUACCAGUCCCGCUAACGGGAGGUGGACUACAGAGGACCAACGUAGGUGUCACAUACGCGGCCUACCACACGAUCCGGCUAGACAGAGGAUAUCCACAAGUAAUCUAGGUGUAAGCACCAUGCUUACACCUAUACUACAACUCUCACCUAUAGCGUCCUAUAGAUUAAAGUACUCAAAAGAGUUGUGAACCAAAACAUACAUGGAUAGUAAUUGCACAAUGUAAUAAGAAGUAGAUUACCAGAGUCAUCCCAUGAGCAAGCUUGAUUAGAGCUUAAUCAUGGCGAAGUACAACCGGAGGAAGAACCGACAGGCCGGCCUCUCCUCCAAUCCUCCCUCGCUCUCCAUCUCGCUACUAUCUAGAUCUACUCUAGUUUAGAGAAGAGAGGAGAGCUCUCAUCUCCAAACCCUAGCUUUUCCUCUGUCUAUGAAUAAUGAAUAGGGAUCAAGGGGUGCCUCCUCUAGGGGCCAGGGGGUCUGCUUAUAUGGCCCUUCCAAGUGAAUGUGGGCCGUCAGAUCAAACCGACCUUAAUCGCAUGGUUUUCCUUGAUCCUUUUGGUCGGUGGAGCAUAAUCCGUGAGGCGGAGCCUGAUUGGUCCAGAUGACAGGGCGGGGGCCCAAGGGGGGAGGGCGGGCGCCCUGCCCCCGGGCCCGCUCGGCUUCCCGUUCGUUCCCGUGGCUUUUGGAGUCUUCUAGAUGAUAGAAAAUUACGCGACAUGUUAAUAUCUCUAUGUAAACCCGACAUGUGGGCCUUUCCUCCAUAUUUCCUGAUAACUCCCUAUAGAAAUAGACAAACACCAAAACUCGUGGAAUUCUGUCAGAUAAAACCCUAAGUUUGGGUGUUUGUUGCAUUUGGAUCCUUUUCUUUGGUUAUUUGAUAAUUAAAUUUGAUACUUAAGGACCGUCAACAACUCCCCCAAGCUUACCUCUUGCUCGUCCCUGAGCAAGGAUGGACUCAAGAGUUUCUGCAGUGGUUUCAAGCCUUAAAGGUACACAUGCAUUCAAACAAGAUCUCAUCUCUGGGUUAGGGUAAACUGUUAAGAUUUAAACUUACUCAUAUUACCUUCCACCAUGGGGCUUGCAGCCGUCACUUGUGUCUUGAGCAGUUAAAAGAUAGAACGGUCAAGUCAAGCGCCAUGUCUCUUGUUCUUGAUCAACUAUAGCUCUGGAGUUUUUGCAGAUUUUCAAAUAAAACUCAGAGAUUCCUUGUAUGACUCUCUCUAGUCUCUCUUUUGUGGUUUUUCUGGAUCCUUACCAAGGCAGUAAUGGUGUAUGCCUUCUCUCAAAGUAUGUGGUAUUUUUGGUAUGAGGCAGUGACAUUGCCUUCUCUCUCACCCUACUCUAAUAAGGUUUUGAUAUCUGGAGCUCAUAGGUGGGAGACAGCUAAUACAUACUUACAAGACAUUUAUUGCAUAGUCAAACCAUGGAUCUAGAGAAACAAGUCAAUAAGUCAGAUCAAGAUGUGCAUGUGUGGCGAAUGAAUGGUGUAUGGUGAUGAUGGUGAAAACAAUGGUGAAAGUCUAAUUCUACUUUUGCUCUUUUGAGGGGAUACAUACCUUUCAUGCACUUUGAAGCUUUUUAAGGGGGAAUGAGAUGCUCUAUAUAUUUUUUUUAUUUUCUAUCAGGUGGGUAUCUUGUACCCCUAAUUCUACUGUCGGACACUUUUCAAUUCUACUGUCGGACACUUUUCCAUUUUUACCUCUCGUCGUACUUUUUAUUUUCUUCGAGGUUCCGGGCACUUGCCCCUUUUUAUUUCCUCGUAUUUUUCACUUUUUUUUCUUUUUUUAAAGCACUCACCCUCCUGGAAUAAUGCAGCAAGUGGUAGUAACCAAAAUAUCUCAAGCAUUUAUUUCACUAGGAAAAGCAGGAAUGGGAUAAUGUUUUUGGCUAUUCUCUCCCGGAUAGGAGUAGAAUAAUUUUGGGUGAAUCUGGAGAUGGAAAUGAGGUGAUGUAUGUGGAUGCGUACUUCCCGAGUAGAAGCAGCAUGUAUGAGUGAACGUGCAAGUGAAUCUUGAUUUUAACGGCUUGACAAGCUCCUUAAGGGUCUACAUAGCUUGACCACACUCAAUGCUCAUAAGUAGUAAAAAGUAAAUGUAUGGUUCCUAGUUGUUGACGGUCCUUAAUGCUCACAUUUAACUGUCAACUAAUCAUGGAAAAAGAUCCAAAUGCAACCAAUACCCAGACUUAGGGUUUUAUCUGACAGAAUUCCACAAGUUUUGGUGUUUGUCUAUUUCUGCAGGGGGUUAUCAGGAAAUACGGAAGAAAGGCCCACACGUCGGGUUUACAUAGAGAUAUUAACUUGACGCGCAAUUAUCUACCAUCUAGAAGAGUCCAGAAGCCACGGGAGUGAACGGGAGAUGUGACGGAGCCGGGCACUGGGCGCCCGCCCUCCCUUACUGGGCGCCCGCGCUCCCCCCUGGACCAAUCAGGGCGAAGCUCAGGGAUCAUGCUCCACCGACCUAAUACUUCAAGGAAAACCACACGAUCAAUGUCGGUUUGAUCCGACGGCCCAGAUUCAUCUGAAAAGACUAUAUAAGCAAGGCCCCCUGGCCCCUGGAGAUCAUACCUCUUCUACAGAAUCAAAGCUAGGGUUUCAAUUCUUCAUCCAAGUAGAGAGGAUCCCUCUAGUUCUUCUAGUUCUACCUCUAGUUCAUCUAGAUCUAGUUCUAGUUCAUCUAGUUCUAGUUCUAGUUCCUCUAGUUUUAGUUCUAGUUGGUUCUAGUUGUAAUCUAGAAAAUAUGAAGAGAGAAGAGGAGAGAGUUGGAGGAGCCGGAUCUGUCUGAUCUUCCUCAACAUUGUACUUUUGCAGCAACUGGUUCGUUCUUCGUCGUUCUCCAGGUUCUUCAAUUCAUAAUUCCUGAGUUCUUUAAUUACUUUUAUUUACAUUCAAGUUAUUUAUUGGAUUCCCGCUUGCAUCAAGUGCUCUAGUCUUUAUAACGCUAGAGUAGUAAUUAAUAGAUUAGACGUGGUGUUUAGUCUUGCAAUUACCUGGAAUUGCACCAAAUCCUGCGGAUUGUUGUGGUAGCCUUAGGGUAGUGAUAGCCCUAAUGGUCAAUGUAUUCCACCUCGUUCGGAUCGGUGUUUGUAGGACCGUAGUCAGACCUUCCUAGCCCCCUUCUCAUCUCUUUCUGUGGUUUGUGCUCUGAUGUCCCAAUAUAGAUAAUCUUGAAGUAAUUCUUGAUUCUUAGAUCAACUAGAGAACUCUCAGGAAACUUCCUCUCUUCCCACCAAAAACAAUUAUAUAGUUAUCCUUGGGCGAUCUUGGAUCUUAAUUAGUACACUCAUGUUCUCUGUGGAAAAUCGAUACUCUGGAAUACUCCCGGGUGAAGGCUACAUCGGUAUCCGUGCGCUUGCAUAUAUUUUCUGUUUGCGUUUAAAAUACCCAACAAGCUUUCCGGCGCCGUUGUCGGGGAACGGUAGCUGUGCUAGUUUCGAACCAAGUCAUCCGUGUAUCCUUUUUCUUUUCCUUUUUUACCACACUCACCUUACCAUUUUCACCACACCACAUGGAUUUCACUCUAAGCAUUAAUGAGCAUGGAAUUUAUUUCAUAGCCACUUCAUUUGCUCCAUGCUCAUAUGCAACAUCUUCCCAAUCCAUUGGUUUUUCCAACAUCCCCACAUUCGAGAUCUCCAACCCCCUCAUCCUUUCUAUUUAUAAAAACUUUAAAAGGGCGGUUGUCGAUGCAUAUGUCUAUAUUAAAUAUUGCAGAUCUCGUUUAGUUGAUCUUGAUAUAGGUCAGCGUUGGAGGGGAAACCACUUCACUGACAUAAAUUGAUGGUUUCCCGAGGACAAGCUUAGUGUCCUAAAAUAAGCACUGAUCAGAUCGUAACAUGAGCUUUUAAUUAUUUGCAACAUUACCUUGUGUAUUGAGCAUAUAAGAAUAAUUGUAAAAAAUUCCCUCGGGUAUUCUUGUCACUAACCUUUUCAGGAUUGGAGCAAGAAGAUUGGAUGAAUGAUAAGCACAAGGUAUGUCCAACCAAUCAUCAUACAACAUUGAAUUAAAUUCAUCCAAACUUGAAUUUUGCAAAAUUCAAGCUUGGGGGAGUACUUUACAUAAAAACAUCCUUUGCCAUGUUGCUAUGUUGGUUGUCCCUACCUUUGAGACAUGCUCAAUUUGUUAAAUACUAAUCACACUACUUCAUCUCCACUUGAGUAGAUCUCUAUAAAUGCUCUCAUGCUACCUUUAUUUGCUUUAGUAUAUGUCUAGGUUUGGAGUAGUUUCAUUUGUCUCUUAAUUAAGCAUGGUGCUUAGUUUAGGGCUGAUGAUCUUACUUCCAAGGGAGUUUAAAUUAAGCAUGAUGCUUAGGUUAAAAUGCCCUCCUAAAUCAAAUUAGACAUGGUGUCUAGGUUGAUUUUUGAGCUGAUAGUAUGCUAUAGUAGAUAUUGGAUAUUUUGUUGGACUAACCCCUGCAGGAAAACUUUCAAUAUCGACCUGGAAAGUCCUGAGCUAAACUCACAUUGGAGACAAAGAGAGAGACACAUGAAGUUUAACAAUUUACACAAGGAAGGCAUAGCUCACAAGAGAUGAUCCAUGGAGGGUGCCACAAACACGAUGCACAACCGCUAAGAGAGGAAAGCUUCCACAAGGUGAUACUGUACCAUCACUCUUCAAGUAAGGUAAUAUCUUAAGGUACUUGACUAUCAUUUUUAUAAGCUUCUCCUUGGUUCUAGCGUCCACAUGAAUAAAGAGAAACAUGUAUGAUUUACAACUCUAGAUUAACUAACCCAAUCAAUUCAACAUGUUUAGUCCUUCCACCUUUGUGAUCCCACACUCCUAAUCAUAUGAGCUAAAAUGUUGCACAUGCAAUCUUUGGAAGAUAUAUAUAAAAAAACAUAAGUAUAGAUAGAUUAUCUUUCCAUUAGGUUGAGCCAUCUGAUCUGACAAAUGUUUCAAAUGCUACACUCAUGAUCCUAUCAACUUUGUCUUGCUUACUAUGCUUAAGCUUAGAGAAGAAAAAAAUACACUUUUGGUUCUGUUGGUGUUUUCCACCAACAGGGCCCAUGCACUUGAUCUCUACCUUGUCUCUAUGAGCAGGUACACUUCGAGCAAAAUAUGAAGGACUUUUACAACUCCCAGACUCCAUCAAGUGAAGAACCUAGAUCUACGAGCACAAACACACUGGAGAUACUGGACACUCAGGCAAUCACUGCCCUGAGAUGCUUGAGGACGUAACUACUAGAGUAACCCCAUUGUGGAAGUAAUUACUAACCUUCUACCGGUCAAGAGAGACAAUCCAGGACGCCCCGUCAUCUCGAUCUCCAUCGGCAUGGUGGACUUCCUAGAAGCACUCUGCGACUUUGGCUCCUGCGUCAACAAUAUGCCCAGGCUUGCAGAUCGGACACUAAGUUUCCCAAAGGGAAUAUUGAAGAACCUCUUCGUCCGUGUUGGUACCUUGUACGCUCCAGGACACCCAUCAUCUUCGGGAGGCCAUUCCUGAACACCUCGGGAGCUGUCAUCUACGUUAGUGCUGCCAAGAUCAGUUUCUACAUCAAGGGGAGGAAGGAGAUGUUUUCCUUCAAGAACAAGACUACAUAAAUCUUAGAGCAAUCCCGUCAUGAACCAAGGAAGAGGACCAACAGGAGGAACAGGAAUGAGCAAAUGUGGACCAAGUCAGCUAAGAUGGUCACUGUAGUUCAAGGAGGUCAAGAUCGUCGACUUAAGUCACCGUUCCUGACCAAAAAGGACGACCCAGUCACCUAUCAGCUCCUGUUCGGAACCAUGCCCCUAAAACCGAUAUACAUUCAGCUCCAGAUGAUUUGAAGGUUAUUGACAUAGGAGAAGACGAGUACGAUCCACCCAUCAUCCUUGGAAGACCGUUCCUCAGCACCGUUAAAGCAAUCAUCUACAUUGGAACCAGAGAAGUCCACAUGCACUUCCCCUCUGAUAAGGUACGCCGCUAUUUUACUAACCUUAACUAUAUAGUUAAAGACUCUAAGCAGGUCAGGACAAGAAGAAGACGACGCAACCGCAACUAUAGGAGGCAAAUCAUCAAAGACAGAUGGGCAGACUACGAAGGAGAAGUAGUAAGGUCUGAAGACAUACAGCUUGAACAGAACUGUCCUGAGGAGACCGUAGCACCGAGUCAGGUGUGGAGAGAGAAGAUAGUUAUACAUGAAGAGGAGGUGCUGCCGGAACCACCGACUACGCCAUCCAGCGAAUCCCAAGACGACUGAGAAAACGGAGAGUCCCGUUCGGAGGACUUAAACACACCGAACGCCUUGCCAAGAGGUAAACUUGGUAGUUAUCUUUUCAAUAAUUUUCUUAGUUAAUCAGGUUCAUAUCAUCUCGAAAAGAAAAUAAAAAUGUUAAAAAAUAGUAAGCCCCAUGUGAGUAUGCUCAUGGCAUAAAACCCAUAAGUACAUUCACUGUGGUGGCAUAAAAAAAUGAAAUAAAUAUAUUCCUAUCCUAUAAAAAUAAAAUUAUAAAAAUAAAUUUAUCAUCCUACUAAAGAGUGUAACAUUUAUUGAGGAGGCUCAACAUGAUAAAGGCUAAAUAUUUAUGCUAACACUUAACUAGUUCCACAAAGCUUUGUUGUCUAUUUGAGCUCCACAGAUUUCAAGGAUCAAAGAAGAAUAGUAGGCGGAGGACAUCCUAAUCACUGUCAGGGUGCUGCCGACAUUCAAAUACACCUCCACCACCUGCUAGCUACAUCAGAAGGAAUUACGGCAAAAUGCAGCUUGGGGGAGAGCACCCCCAUUUAUCCAGCUAAGUGUUCUACUCAUGUUUAUACUUUACUCAAAUAAUAAAAAGAUGCAUAAUCAUAGAAACCCAAAUAAAAAUUUUGUGCUUAUAUAUAUAUCUUUGCUUAGUUUGCUAAAUAAAUAAAUAAAUAAAGUCUGCUAUGAACCCUCAUGAUAGCUCACACAUGGAAAUGAUGAAUAGUUGUUCUGCCAUGACUAGUUCUCAAAAUUAAAAUCUCUCUCAAGUUUAGGCAUGACUGUUACUAAUUGAGAUUUGCUCUAAACCUAAACUUGUGGGAAGAGUACUUGAUCUAAUGUCUAAGUCGUUAACAGAUACGAUAUGGGAAGGUUGAGCUACUGUUUAUAUGUUCCUAAAGAUGCUAGAAUUCUAGAGAAUUUUAUCUUUGAAAAUCUUUAAAAUGUUGCAUGAUGAGUUCCUGUAUGAUGAGAGUUUAAAUUCCUACCACAGCCAUAUAUACAUGCUUGCUAAACUUUGAGCCACACAUUUACUUUUUACUGCUUAUGAGCAUUGAGUGUGGUGAAGCUGUGUAGACCCUUAGGAGCUUGUCAUGUGGUUAAAUAAAGAUUCACUGGCACGUUCACUCAUACAUGCUGCUUCUACUCCGGAAGUACGCAUCCACAUAUAUCCACCCAUUUCCAUCUCCAGAACCACCCAAAAAUAUUCUACUCCUAAUCUGGGAGAGAAUAGCCAAAAAUAUUUCUGUUUUUCCCCUAUGAAAUAAAUGCUCAAGUUAUCUUGGUUACUACCACUUGCUACAUUAUUUCAAGAGAUGAGUGCUCUAAAAAAAGAGAGAAAAAAAGAUACGAGGAAAUAAAAAGGGGCAAGUGCCCGGAACCUCGAAAGAAUAGAAUAAGUGAGACGAGAGGUAAAAAUGGACAAGUGUCCGACAGUAGAAUUAGGGGUACAAGAUACCCAACUGAGAGAAAAGAAAAAGAAAAUAUAGAGCAUCUCGUUCUCCUCAAAAAGUUUCAAAAGAGCAAGAAAGGUAUGUACCCCCUCAAAAGAGCAAAAGUAGAAUUAGACUUUCACCAUUGUUAUCACCAUCAUUACCAUGCAUCAUUCAUUCGCCACACAUGCACAUCUUGAUUUGACUUAUUGACUUGUUCUUCUGGAUCCAUGGUUUGACUAUGCAAUAAGUGUCUUGUAAGUAUGUAUUAGCUGUCUCCCACCUAUGAGCUCCAGAUAUCAAAACCUUAUUAGAGUAGGGUGAG
rnacentral:lncRNA from 1 species